CUCUCUCUCUCUCCUUCUCUCUGUACAUUGAUUGUGUACGUGUGCCAAUUCUCAGAAUGAAAUGAAUUUGAAUUUUCUGCAGGCUCUGCUAACAAUCCCAAGAAACCCUAACCACUACGCGCCGGUAAAGCUCGGGUUGUCUCGUCGCCCUUCCUUCUGUUCCACUGGCGUUUCGCUCUGCAAGGCUUCUUCGAGCUCAGUCAGGUCCAAAUUCAGCCCCAUUGUCGCCGCAAAGUCCAGACGGGACUUUGCUGUGAGAGCCGAGUCGGAAGGUGAGGUGGGAGCCACCGAGAAUGAAGAAGCUGUUGGUGAACCGGCUUCAGAGGCCGUAGUGGACGCCGAAGCAGGAGCAGCUCUGGAGACUGAGCCUGAGCCUGAAGAGAAGAAGCCGCCGCGGAAGCCUCGUAUCAAGCUCGGCGAUGUCAUGGGGGUAACUUAUUCAAUCAAUCCUUUGCCUUUUUCGUUUUCGUGUAGUUUAGAACGAGGGGUUAUAAAUUGGGAGUGAUAUAUGUUGAUGAUAUAACGUGGGAUAGAAUAGGACAUCAAAUUCGUCCCAUCGCAGGAGAGACAUUAGCUAGUAAUGUAGUAUCUGAUAAUACAGAUUAAAUGUAGUUUCGGGGUAUGCAUUGUCAUCAGUUGUUUUGAGUUGGAAUAUAGACUAUUAAAGUGCUUAGUUCUGAUGGUUGUAAACCUGUAUCUUUGUUUGAUUCUUGAAAAUUUAGAUAAUGUUUGACUCAACUGUUCUGUUUGUGUAGAUACUAAAUAGCCGGGCAAUUGAUGCGGCAGAGAAGGAAAGGCCAGUUCCGGACAUUAGGAGUGGAGAUGUUGUGCAAAUUAAGCUGGUAAUUUGUGUUUAUGAUUUUUUAUUUUUAUUUUCCCUUCAGAUUUUAUACCAUUUCAAAGUGUAUGUUUUGUGAUCCUGUGUAUGUGUAUGGGCUACAGGAAGUUCCGGAAAACAAGCGUAGGCUGUCUAUCUAUAAAGGUAUCGUUAUUUCAAAGCAAAAUGCUGGCAUUCAUACAACAUUUCGCAUUCGGAGGAUUAUUGCUGGUGUAGGGGUUGAGAUUGUUUUCCCUCUGUAAGUUCUAUUUCUGUGUACUUUGUGUUCACUUGAUUUGGUACUUUGUACACAAUUCCCUUUAUUCUAAUGUCAUCAUGCUGAAAAACAUAACACAGAGAAACUUUGUCUGGGAUAGUAACAGUUACUGAUGGCUGUUAUGGUUUUCUUAAUUUGUGUAGAAUAUAUAGUUUAGUUCCAUUCUCCACUUGGAUGUAUUGUUAUGAUCUUUUGCAUUGAUGUGAGUAACAUAAGUUUUUAGGAGCAAGUGUAAUCUACUAGGUUGUUAUACUUAUGUAUGCCACUAACAUGCUUGGAUUCUCCUUGCCCUUACCUGCUCACGUAGAGACUCUCCUAGAGUAUUAAUUAGUGACGACAAUAAAAUGUUUGUUACGUAGCUUAUAUUUUCUGUGAGGAGAGGGGAGAUGUCUUAUGUUUCGAUACUUGUUACUGCAGAUACUCACCAAACAUCAAGGAGUUGAAAGUACUUAGUCACAGGAAGGUCAGAAGGGCAAGGCUAUACUAUUUGAGAGACAAACUUCCUAGGUUUUCGACUUUCAAGUGAGAGAGAGCAAUUGCAGCCGUUCUUCGGUUGUUUUUGUGUUGCAGUAGUCCCCUAAAUCAUGUACGCUGUAAGAACUAUAUCUUCCAAUCCAUUUGAUGUGAUGUGUAUCACUUGUCUCCAGUAGUUUUGUUGUAUGUAUCAGUUCUUUCCUUUUUCUAUUGUUCUAUAAACUCUACUAUUAGAAAGGAAGAAGUUUUUCCUCCAACUAUGAUAUCAAACUUCCAACACUGCAUGUAACUUAUGUUUUCUUUACUGGCCACCCAACUGAAAUGUGGGGAUAAAAUCCUGUCUCUGUGUGGAUGGAGGUCUUGUCUCAAAUCAUUUGUUAGUGCCACCAUGUCGAGUUCGUAAGCAUCAUUUUGAAAAAAAGUUGUUUCAUUCUUUCCGUUUAAUCAUCAGAUGCAGUAUGCCUUGACUUUUUAAGGUUGUCAUGAUGCAAGCACCAGUUGUUCCCACCACCAUGUAUAUAUGCUGUAUUGAACUCUACCUGACGCAUUUUGCUAUUGCUUCAAUGAUUCUUCUUGUCUCAGGGUGUUGUUUAUUUGAUAUUGGUUUGCUCAAAGCAUGUAGUUGAGUGGCUUUUAAUAGUGUGAACUGAAUUGCCUGAAAAACUAGCAUUUGCUUCUCUUAGUGUCGUAUUGAUUUAAAUCAGGUAUACUUUUAGACACAAUUGUGUGGGUGCUUCCUCUACGUUUAGACUUUAGAUUACACUUGCAUCUCUUGUCAUGAUUAAUUUCAAAGUAAUCAUUAGUGCUUGAGAUUGAUUGCAAUUUUAGUACUGGAUUCUGUUCAAGCUUUUUGGUAUCAAUCAAUUGUAACAUUAUUGUUAACUGCUUGACUCACCUUUGCUGGAAAGAACCAUCACAUCCCUCAAAACCAGACCGGCUCUGUUCCAUAUCCUUUUCCUUUGUCUUAUGUUUUCAUUUUUAUUAAUUAAUUAAUUUAUUAUUCUGAUAGAUAAUAUGAGGAAUGUCAGGAGAGGAUCAAAGGAAAAAUAUACGGAACAAGUUCUUAUUCCCAGAUUUAUGGAGGAAAAAGCUAUUCAUGGCCCCCUUUGUUUACUUUGCAAGUUCCGUCUUCAAAAAUUUCCAGUUUAGUCUUGAAGUUGAAAAUAAAUUAAGUGAAAUUCGUCUGUAUGGUACGUCAACUUUCAAUCCUUAUAAACUUUGGUAUACCAACUUUCUUAAACAUCAGAAUGGUAUGUCAUGUUUUGCCCCGACUGAAGAUUGGUACUUUUGACCGUCAGCUCCGUUACAGCAGGUGCUAGCUGCCAAUUUUUCAUGGGUAUUUUGGUCUCUCCAAUCAUCUCGCCAAUUCCCUAAUAUUUUCCCACCAAUUUUAGAAUGCAGUAAAAUUUUUACCGCCAAUUUUAGAUUCAUGUGUUUUUGACCAAAUUUAAACUCACUUUUGUACCUAUUAUUUUUGGCUGGGACAAGUCCUUUAACACAAGAGAUCUCUUAAUGUAAACAUAACUUGGAAAAUAAAAUGUACAGAAUCUAAAAUCAACAUCCCUUAAAAUACAAUAACUAAUCGUCAUUAAAAUCAACAUCCCUUAAAUAUAUAAUAAUAGUCAUAGCAAAAAAGGUCUAUAAAAUCAACAACAAAAAGCAUUGUCUAGCAGCAAUAGCCAUAAUAGCAAAAACUACAUCUAAGGUUUUCCUCUUCCACAACAACCUACUCAGAUUCUUCAAGGUUUGGGUUUUCUGUGAGCGAUCGAUUUGUUCCUCCUCUGUUUGAAUUGGAGAAUGGAGGAGCUUUGUGGAGUUGUUGUGCUUUGGGAAUGUUGUGUAGGCACAUGAGGAGGUUCUGAUUCUUCCACAUUUUGUGAAACUUGUUGUUGCUGCAUUUGCACAUUGUCCACAUUUUGAGCAGCCUCUUGCUGGGCAUUCUCCUCAUUUUGAGCAACCUCUUGUUGUGCGGCUUGCGCUGCCUAAAAACCAAAUACCAUACAAUAAUCUCAGCACCACAUUUAACACAAGUUAUAAGCUAUUUAUACAAUCACUCAUAACUAUCUCUUUACACCAUAUUUAUAAGAAUUUAUAAUAUCAUCACCAUUCAUAACAACAAAUUUAACACAAGAUAAAGAAAAAUAAGGCCUAAAAACCAUACUUGUUGCCUUCUUAAGCAGGUCCUACUGUUGUGGCCUUCCUUCCCAUAUUUUCCACAACUAAUUUGUGUGUAAUAUGCCUUAGACAACUUAUCUGCACCAGGUGGUGGGGCUGCUUCACCUUUUUAACCAGUCACAGAGAAAUAUAUUCCUUAUAUAUAUGAACAUAAACAACAAGAAAUUAAAAAAAAAAAUACNNNNNNNNNNNNNNNNNNNNNNNNNNNNNNNNNNNNNNNNNNNNNNNNNNNNNNNNNNNNNNNNNNNNNNNNNNNNNNNNNNNNNNNNNNNNNNNNNNNNNNNNNNNNNNNNNNNNNNNNNNNNNNNNNNNNNNNNNNNNNNNNNNNNNNNNNNNNNNNNNNNNNNNNNNNNNNNNNNNNNNNNNNNNNNNNNNNNNNNNNNNNNNNNNNNNNNNNNNNNNNNNNNNNNNNNNNNNNNNNNNNNNNNNNNNNNNNNNNNNNNNNNNNNNNNNNNNNNNNNNNNNNNNNNNNNNNNNNNNNNNNNNNNNNNNNNNNNNNNNNNNNNNNNNNNNNNNNNNNNNNNNNNNNNNNNNNNNNNNNNNNNNNNNNNNNNNNNNNNNNNNNNNNNNNNNNNNNNNNNNNNNNNNNNNNNNNNNNNNNNNNNNNNNNNNNNNNNNNNNNNNNNNNNNNNNNNNNNNNNNNNNNNNNNNNNNNNNNNNNNNNNNNNNNNNNNNNNNNNNNNNNNNNNNNNNNNNNNNNNNNNNNNNNNNNNNNNNNNNNNNNNNNNNNNNNNNNNNNNNNNNNNNNNNNNNNNNNNNNNNNNNNNNNNNNNNNNNNNNNNNNNNNNNNNNNNNNNNNNNNNNNNNNNNNNNNNNUCUUAUCAACAUGUCCAUCUCUUAUUAAAGCUUCAUCAUUUCGGCCAUCGUCAUCCACUAAAUCAUCAUUCCCAAACCCAAAAACAUCAUUCAGGUUCUCAUCAACAUCAUCUUCUUCAUGAUUAGGUUCUCCUUCUUCCACAUCAUCAAUCCACCAACCAAGCAAACUAGUAUGAUCUAAGUCUUCAUUAUAUACAUUAAGUUCUUCUUCACAGAACACCUUCCUUUCACUAGUACACACUAUGUACAUGUCUAAAAGCUUAGUCCUAGGGGAGACAUGAUCACACAUCUCUAUUGCCUCUAUGUCAUCUCCUAGGGGCAAAUAUCCUGAUCCCUCUUCACUCCCAGGAAUCCUAAACCAAAAUUGAAUUGGAGGUGAUUGGUACCCCAAAUCAUUUGCCCAGUAGUGGAUUUGAGUCAUAGAAACCUUAUCCCGGUCAACUCCAUCAACAAAACAUACCUCCCCUCCUCUAUAAUGCCUAUUUAAUCCCCUAUUAGAGUGAAAUCUUCCUCCAUGGUGAACCCUCACAGUAAAAACAGUCGGAUCUGCAAGUGAAAAAGGGAAAAAAAAUUGUCACUUUUUUUUCCCUUUAUUUGUUACACAUUAAGCACACACAAAACACAAUCAAUUCGUCCAAAGCAUGCAUAUGAUGAAGUUAUGACGGUCACCAACCAAGCCCCAAACACAACCCUCUUUAUUCAUGUUGAAAACCCCCAAUCUGGGGGAAUUAAGAGACCCUCACCCACCCACCCACCCUUAUGCCCUGAUCCUUUCUCGAUCAAAUCCCCAACCACUUCAUUCCCGACAUCACAGAGACAACCCUAAAGAAUAAUGGCACAUCAAGACAAAAACUUCUACAAAAACAAACACAGUAAACAUACCAAACCCUAGACACGCCCAUGAAAUAUGAAAACAUAGACGAUUGAUGGCCAUAAACAAUACUAAGUAUUGCGAUUCAUUCGAGUAAAUGGAUUAAAAUUUGAGAGAGGGACCAUUAAUUUUACCUGAGUAUGUUGGUGGCUCCCCAGAGAGACGAAAGUAUCUCCAAACUUUGGACAUCGCAAAAUCUUUGCUUGUAUGAUCGAUGGAGAGAGGUUGAUCGAGAGAAAGAGAGACGAGAGAGAGUGACAACGAAAGAGACGAGAGAGAGCGGACAGUGAAAGAGAAAGAGACCAGAUGGAGAGAGGAGAGGCUGAGAGAGAGUUUAAUUUUUAGGAGAAAAUAAUUAGGUUUAAUCGGUCGCACGUAAAUUUACCAUAGUACCCCCCAUUUUUGAAUUUUGAAUCGCGUUGUAACGGAGCUGACGAUCAAAAGCACCGAUCUUUGGUCGGGGGAGAAACUUGACAUACCAUUCUGAUGUUUAAGAAAGUUGGUAUACCAAAACUUAUAAAGACUUAAAGUUGACAUACCGUAUGAACGAAUUUCCCAUAAAUUAAUUAGGAGCUUUAUGUUGUCAACAACGAAGUGCAUUCUAUAGGUUGAAAAGAUGACCCCAUUUUAUUGAUAGAUUUCCAUGACUACAUUCAAACAUUAUUUGCCCAACUUUAGGGGUGUUGGUGCUGGGAUUGGACGAAGUUGUUGUCCUGCUAGACAAUAUGGCCUUGUUCCUUGAAGGAUAGGGACAGAAGGAGAUUAAGGUUGAUUUGUGUAUAAAAGUACUUGAAAGUGUAGCCUGCACAAACUUAGUUUCAUUUCAUCGGAAGAUUUGAAGCAGAUGAAGGUCGACGAGAGACAGUAUUUUAGUACCAGCGUAUGGCAAUGGGGUUUCUCUGUCUAGCUUCAGACUUUCAUCUAUGAGACUUGAGCACAUAGAGACCUUCAUUCAGAUUGCUUCACGAAUAUUGGAUCAUAUCCUAGAAAACAGAAUCCGAGUUAUUGUCGAUCAGAUUUGAGAUGGUUGAUCGUGAAUCGAUCGUUCCCUUGCUGCCUAUUAUUGUGUCCGGCUAGGACGUGACUUUGAGUUUGUACUGUUCUAGGCCUCUAAUUAUUCAUCCCGAUGAAUUCAGAUAAGUACCAGAAAGUCCCUGGUAUAAUCGGAAGAAGGUAGGUAUACAUCCAGAGAGUAUACCUAAGGUACUCGCAACUCUCACCGGCCACUUACAUCUCCUUUCUUUGCUCUACAUGGAUAUACGGAAGAGGCAAAGAUAUCAGAGUUAAACAAGGCCAUAAUAUGUUUGCAUACCAAUCUCUCUUUCCCCAAAGAGACGGAAUAUGAACGAAGUGAAUUGUAGUGCUAGCUAGAGAUGUGAUUGCAACAGACCAACAGAGUAUUGAUUCUGAAUUUGUCAAUAGCUAACCUUCGUGAUCAAUCCAAUAAUAGCAUCUAUAUUGACCACUUAACUUGGGUUGCAAGACAUCACUACAUUAGCUCCCUCAUAACCAAAUCCAAGUACACUGCUUCAAUGGCAACUGCACCACAUACACUCUUCGACUCUUCGUGCACACCCAAGAGAUCAUGAAGUCCUUUAGAAUGCGCUACAAGUUCUCGACUCAAUGAAAUGUUUCUCUAGUCUUACGCUCAUAUUAUGAAUUCUAUAGACCUUUAGUCGAAGAGCCUUCAUUGCACGGUCUGUUGUAGAUUACAUGAUACUAAUAUUACACUCAAGUACACCACCGUAAAUACAAUAUAUUUUGUUAUUAUUGAUUAAUUGACACAUACACCGCCGAUACUAAUUGGUGUUGUAUGUGAUUGUGAUACGGUCAAAUAAAAUACAAAUAAACUUCCAGGUGAAAAGGCAGAGAGAGACACGUCAGAGGAUCGCAGUUCCAUUCUGGGGUAGUAGAGUACGGUACGCACUUAAACGCUUAAAAAAGCUGUCCUUGUAAUUCUCCCUCACUUUUGAAGCGGGCUUCCUCAUUCCCCUGCAUCCGACACGUGUCCUCUGCUCCUCUCCGCCAUUCCAUAAUUCACUCGGCGCUCGGACCGUAGGCCGAUCUUGGAGGCUCCCUCCCAGUCGUAGAAAUUGGACCGAGCAAUCCGUACUCCUCCACCUACGCUCCUGCCUCCAUCUGUUAGUCCCCAAUUCAAUUUCACUCUCUCUCCCUUCACCAUUCAAUUUCCCACCUUGUUUCUCUCUCUGAAUUACAUGAUGAUGAUGUUAGGGUUUGUUGUCCUAAUGUGAAUACCAGGGUUUUGAUAUUGGUUGCUGAAUCACAACUCGAACAAAUAUAUACAAGUCAUUGUUGGAAUUGGUGGUUGCGCAUCAUGAGUGCCGGCGGCGGUAAUCAGUUGAUCUCUGUUCUUCCCGAGGAGCUCCGAUUUCAAUGUAAUCUCUCUCUCCCUAUGCAGUUCUUGAUGAUGAUCAUCGAAAUGCAUGAACAGCGGAAAUUAGGCAUUGUGUUGAUCAUGUUUGUUUUUCUUGUUCGGUUAUUUGAAGUUUGAUCAUUGAGGGCCAAGCAAAGUUUCUGGUUUAUAUUAGUGUAGGUAUGAUUGAGCCGUUGAAAUUAGUGUCGUAAAUUGUAUGAUAGCAUAUGAAGCAAAUCAUAGUCGGAAAUGUUUCUAGGAGUCGAAUUUAAGGAUGUUUUAUUUAGCUGAUUUAGUACGGUUGCGUGCCUGACCCCACAUUCUUGUUUACUGCUAUUGUGCUUCUGUUGUAAUCUUGUUUAGUUCCUCAUGGCCUGUGGAUUUGUAUCCAUUGCUUUCUUGAGCCCUGUCUUUUUUUUUUUUUUUUUUUUUUUUUUUUUUUUUUUUUUUUUUGCCGUAAUUAGCAUCUGUGGUUCUUUGAGCUAAAUGGUAAUUGGCUACUACUGGGGGAUAUAUAGCUUUAUUCCGUCCCCAUUGGCUACAUUCUAGGUUCUGGUAGGAAUCUUCGCAUGUGAAGCUCUAGUCUGAGUUAAGAGAACUGGUAUAUCAGUAGUAGUCCUGGCUAAGUUCAAUAGAAUAUAAGAAUAACCGGGCAAGGGAAUUAUAUACAAUAAGCUGGUACAGAGUCGACUAGAAUUCUAGAAAUCAUACGAACUAUUGCCAACACUUGUUCGGCUGGUCUUUGAAAUUGUUCAAAUUGAAUAAAAUUCUUGGAAGUGAAUGCAAAUAAGCACAUACCACACUGUAACCUGAUAUCCUUAUAGAGUUAUAGUGCCACCCUCCAGGAAGGUUUUCAAACUCUUGGUUAUGUACUUCUUCUUGGAUAGUUUAGUAUUGUGUAAUACAGUUUUAAUGGACUAUUGGUCUUGACAUUUUCUAAUCAGUUGAGCUGGAAAAACAAAGCUUUUGUGACCUAAAAGUCAGCAACAAUACAGAAAACCAUGUUGCUUUCAAGGUACGAGUUCGUGAAUGAUACUCGGUUUUACGCAUUAAGAGUAUUGUUUUCUUCAACAUGUUUUUAAUAGUUUCCACUUUUUUCUCCAUAGGUUAAAACCACUUCCCCUAAGAAGUACUUUGUACGGCCCAACACUGGCAUUAUACAAGCUUGGGACUCAUGUGUCAUCAGAGGUGCGCUACUUGUUACUGUUUUAUGGUUUUCAUUUUUUUCUUUUUUAUAUUUCUUAGCUUCACAUUGAAAGUAAGGAUUUUAGCUGUGAAGGUAUCCUAGGAAUACACUGCAAAACAGAUUGUCUCUCCCACUGCUUUACCUAACAAGAUAUAGAGGUAUCUUAGGAAUACUCUGCAAAUUAGAUACCUUACAAACCAAGUCGAGUACUAAAUUUGUAAGAUCUGAUACCUUACAAAUCAGAUCUUAGCGAUACUGCCCAAUAAUCAUCUCCAUUGUUUGAGCUGUAACUGUAAUGAGUGCGGUAGAAAUGUCUCACAUAUGAUUGAAUUUUAAGAACAUAAUGCCAAUGAAUGACAACCUUUUGAUCUAAGAAUUGUACCAGUUGUAAGAGUGUAAUAUUUUCUUAAGCUUUGUUCACAAGCCUGCUAAAUUGUGAAUAUUAUGUUCUAUUUUAUUCUCUUUUAAAGAUUUAUAAUUACUGUCUUCCACUAACUGCUGGGUCUGCAGUCACCCUCCAGGCCCAACGAGAAUAUCCUCCAGACAUGCAGUGUAAAGAUAAAUUUCUCCUACAGAGUACAAUAGUGCCUCCAAAUUCUGAUAUUGAUGAACUUCCACAAGAUACUGUAAGAAGCUUAAGUUCAACACUAAUGUCAUUUUCUUAUUAAGUUGCUUCACCUGAACUAGUAAUGACAUUGUUCACUCUUUAAUGUUUCAUCCAGUUCACCAAGGAAAGUGGAAGGACAGUAGAGGAGUGCAAGCUUAGAGUUGUGUAUUUAACUCCUGGUUCAGGUCAAGGAAAUGAAGAUGGAGCUUCUAUGCGUGGUCUUGAUACCAAUUCUGUGAGUUUUUUUGAAGUACAUAAUUUUGGAAUAAAUUUUUGUCUUGCUAUAACGUGCAUGUACAAUUUUUUAUUCUCGUUUUUUGAGGCCAAUUCUUCACCGACUACUUCACAUAUUUAGUCCAAGAAUGUGUGCAUUAGAUUUCCUGCCAUGCAAUCGUUAGAUGAUUUGUCACUAGAAACCUGAACUCUAGAUUUCGUGUGAUUACUAGUGUGUGAAUUAAGUUAGGGCGGUAUUCAAAAUGAUAUUUAGUAGCAAAGGGAUGAUGUGAAGAGGCUCUAGUUGCUACCACAACUGCGAGUGUGGUUAUAUUGUUCUAGCUUACUUUCUUUUGAUCCCAUGGUUCUUCCUGAAAUCUUGUAAGGUUAAUAUAUAGUAUCUUGUUAAGCAGACCACAUUGGUGUAUAGUAUAAUUGAAGUUUUUUCUUAUUCUUAUUUACUCUUGAAAUUUAUUUAUUUUUACUGCAGAAUCAGACUUUCCAGCGCCUGAAGGAAGAAAGAGAUUCAGCUGUUAGACAAACACAGACACUUCAACAAGAACUGGUCAGUUUCUAAUUAUUUUCCUUGCUCCUCAGUGACAUACAAAAGACUUCAUCAGUAUUUAACCUCUCUUAGACCUUUACCGUUAAUUCUGCAUUUGUUUAAUGUGCACGACAACAAUAGAAGGAGUUAAAAGGAAAUAGCAUAGUUUGUCUGUACUAAUCAUUUUUGCUUCGUUCAUCUUCUCUCAACAUAACAUCAAAUAGUAUUCCUGAAGUUGACAAGAGCUGAAAUAAGUAGUGGUUAUAGUCUCAUGUUUAAUACAUAGAUGUCCUUUGAAAGAACAUAUACAUAAAAAGCAUCAAGGCCAAGUUAAUAUUUACCCGCAGCCCUCCCCACUGAUGGUCUACUCCUGUUCAUUUCAGGACAUACUGAAGAGGCGGAGAUACCGGAAAGGUGACCCAAGCUUUUCCUUCACCUUCGCAAUUUUCGUGGGACUUAUCGGACUCAUGGUUGGUUUCCUCUUGAAUCUGUCACUGUCUUCACCACCCAUAGAAGUUUCACCAUCCACAGAAUCUUCACCACUAAUGGAUCCACCAUUAAUGGAUUGACGUUAUUCAGAACAUCAUCAUAUAUCUUCAUGACAAAAUUCAUUGUAUAAUCCCUCUGGGCAUUCUGGUUGAUGGAAAGUUUGCUUUACUUCAAUUUCUUCUUCUUUUGUAUAUUGAUGAUUGUUGCAAAUUUGCAUCGUGAUAGUUGAUUUAUUAUAAAUAUAUAUGUUUCUAUUUUUGUACUGUUCAUUGUUUUAUGUCGAAUUGUGCCUGUGAUUCCAUCACUGAAUCUAAAUUAUCCGAACACAUACAAAGAAGAUGAUUGUUAUAUUCUCAAAUCUCAAUAGCGACUGACCUUACAUAAAUGAAGAGAAAUUUUUACCGAAGUGUUAAGAUACAGUUGGACCUAAUAUUAUAUAUGAAUAGAAAAAGAUUAAUUGAUUAAACCUAGAUCAAUACUUGGAUAUCGGUUCUCAUGGAGAAGAAUGAAUGUGCUCCAGUAUAUUUCAUAGCUAAAAAGCUAUGAAACCUAGUCAUUUGCCAAAUAAGCUUCAACAUUUGUUUGGCUCUAUAGCUUCUGGUGUGACAUGCUAGCACACAAUUCGAUCUCAUCCUUGACCAUCCUUCUAAUAUAAUCUCCCCUGCUUCUCUCUCCAAGUCAUAUAUUGAUUAUAUUGAAUUGACACAUCAAAAUUAAUCUUCAUAUAAUCUGCAGCAGGAAGAUGCCAUUUGAUAAUAGGAAAGCGUGAAGUUCUUGGUUUAUGAGAAGGAAUAUUGGUAGCUAAAUAAUUAUUAAGAAAAGAAUUAGCAUGAAAGUAACAUUGAUUGCUACUAGUUUGUAUAUUUCUAAAAUUAUGCCAGAUCGACCAAGAGAGCAUCAAAACCAAUUGUAAAUGAGAUUUUUCAUUGUGUGAAAUAAGGACUUUAACCAAGCAAUGAAAGAGUAAUUAAAGGGAGGUCUAUAAGUGGGAGGUGAGAGCAUCCAUACACUUUGCGCAAAGACGCAUUGAGUGAACAGAUGAUCGACUCAUUCCACUGUUUCUAAAUUCCAAGUACCUAUCACAAAACGCACAAAAAGAUGGAACAUGAGAAUGGUAGAGUGAGAGAGUAUGACGAGUCUUUAGUCUAUUUCGAAGUAGUAGGCAUGAAAAGAUUUUAAAUUUGAGAUGUAGAGUUCAUUUCCAAAUUUUAUGUAAAAAAGAAGCAUUAGAAUGAGGAUGCAUGUUGAGAGUUUUGCAGUAGCCAAAACAAAUUGUUCUGGUUUAGGAUAUAAAGGAAGAGGCACUGCAAUUUGAACAAUAUCCACUGGCACAGUCUGUUCUAAAAGGGAUACAUUCCAAGUUCCAUUUACGAUAAAAUGACUAACAAUAACAACCCAGUCAAUGUUACUCUCCUAGCUAGCAUGAUCAGGAAUAAGUUGAUAUAAAGGAAAAGGCAUUAACCAGUUGAAUUUCCAAAAUAAAACCGAAGAACCAUCAACAAUAAUCCAACGCAAUCCUUCUAAAAGUAUAUGUCUUAAAUCUAAAAUUCUUUUCCAAACAUAAGAAUGUGAAGAUUUUUUGGGCAUAGUAAGGUCUCGUUUGAUACUUGUUAGUCACCAAUUGAACCCACCAGUUUGAUGGUUGAGUUAGAAUUUUCCAACCUAACAUGGCAAGCGCAGCUUGGUUGAAAAUAUGUGCAGGUCGAAUCCCUAAACCCCCAAGUUUAGUCGGCGCAGCAGUUUGAGACCAAGAAACAGCCUGACUGGGAAUUACCCUAAAAGAACCUUCUGUUUUUUUUUUUGUCAAUUUGAUCUGUAAAUUUUUGAACAUUUAAAACAUGAUAGGAUAUGAUUUGGCAUUUAACUGACGGAAACUUACCACCCCUAGACAAAGUAUUUGCUUUCCAUUCGGCUAGUUUCUUUUGUAACUGCAUUUAACCAAAAAAAAAAAAAAAAAAGGUUUACUUUUGUAACUGGUUAAGCAAAAGAAUUAGCAUUAAAGAAUCAGCCAAGAGACAUGGUGGGCUGUUGUGUAGGUUACCCUUACCAAGGGUGGACAAAUUCUAGCUCUGUUGUUCAUGGUACGGUUUUCAGCAUUUGUCAUAGAAGUACUGUAGCUAUUACAGGAUGGACUUAGAAUUUGGGAAAUGAUUUAGUAAGAGUUUACGUAAGACACUAAAUUUGAAAUAUAGAAGACGAAACAUAUAUAGGAGGAUAUAGUUAAUUUACAACUUUACAUAUUACAUUUAUACAUAUAUAGAGAGAAUAUAGUUCUUGACAUGAUCAGUACUUUCUUGCACUAGCUAACAUAAUCCAGAUAGCGAAAUAGACAAUACUAACGCUAGAUUGGUCUUUCUAGUGCUGCUAGUUAAUUAGCAAUGCCAGAUCCUGAACACCUUCAUGUAUCUAGCUACCCCAAGAAUGAUAGAGCAGGGCCACAAAUAAAACAUGACAUCCAAUACGUCGGAUGACUUUCACAUAAUCUCAAAGCAGGAAUUCAACCAAAUACUAAUGAAAUUCAAAUGAUAUAUAUGUGUAUUAUUUAUAAUGUCGUAUAUAUCUUCUCUAUUAGCUUCAAGAUCGAGUACAACCAUUUUUUGGUUCCCGAGAACUGAAACCUGUAAGGGUUGGGCAUGGCUCACAGAGUGACCAAUUAUUACAAUUAACCACUUGAAACAGCUUAGUUAACGAUGGCUGACCAACCACUUGGUUUCGGCAAAGAGGACAAACAUGAUUGUUUUUGAGCCAGUUGACAAUGCAGUCUCCAUGGAAACGGUGUGAGCAAGGCAACCGAGCAACUACCCUCAAAGGGGGUGGCUCUUUUCUUGGCGUUUUAGCGAUGGUGCCACUGCUGCUUUGUAGUCCAAGCAGCCUCUUGCUCUUCCUCUUGGGUUGUUGUUUGAGUUUCUUGCCUUUUUUAUCAACUAGGUCCUCCAUACAAAUAACACAAGAGUCUUCAAACCCCAAGAAGCAGCCAUCAACUCUCUCUUUCUCCAUACCCUAAACUGAUGAUAUCGCAUCGUCUAGAAAAGCAUCGCAAGCAGAUGUGAACAAGCACUCCUUCACUUCCACUAUGUCGACAUGAAUGACAGAAGCUGUUGAGGCCACUGCUGGAUCUUCUUUUUCGGCCACCCGGAAUACUUCUUCAAUACAAGAUCGUCGUACAUGAUCGGGGAGUGGCUCCUCCUUAAAUCGGAGUGAAAAGAAGUCGACCAUUCUCCAUGUAUACUCACUCCUGUUGGAUAAUAGCUCGCUUCGAGGAAGAUCAGAGAUGACGAGUUCGUCACCUUUAUGGUGGUAAGGUAUGCCAUCAGACAUGGUUUUACCAGGUUUCAAGGAGACUCCCAUCUUAGUGUAGAUCUUUAUCUUGAUCUCAACCGAGUCCUCGCCUUCCCAUCGAUUGGGGUCGCUUGUGAGCCACACUUCGCUCUCGAAUGAACGUUUCUCAAAAUACAUGAUUGCUUCCACUACCAGAAUAUGGAAACAAUCUGUAGUCGACGAUUGCUAUUAUAUAGGCAUGCUAGCUAGGUAGUCCGAAUUCGACGAGGACUACAAUCCUAAUGGUGCUAGGGUUUAGCUAAAAGGAUUUUUGGAGAUUUCCGAAUGGGAAGAGGAUUCCGCUUUUAUAGCCAGCGUGGACCUAACUCCUAAGCAACCAAGUCUUCCCUAAUACGGAAUCAAAAUAAAAUGCGUCCCAAAGAAAAAAAAAAGAGAAAAAGAAUAAAACAGGAAAUAAAGAAACUAUUUAAAACGGUGUUAUCUAACAAGAACUCUACACAAAAAAAAAAAAUACUUACUUACUCAUCGGAAAAAAACCUGAUAACCCCUUCACCCUUGUGAGUUGUGACUUCGUCUAUUAGAAAAAAUUUCCAAGCUAACAGAUGUUCGGAGUGAAUUUGGAAUUCUUCGAACAAUCAGUUUUUGUGGCGUGCCGGUAUCUAUGAGCUUCAGUGCAACUUGAUCUUCUUCUCGCUCGGGCGCUUCUUAACUUCUUCCUCAAGCAAUAAUUGAGUGCAGGUGUAAUCAAAACCUGCAGCAAGGUUUUUACUCAGACCUAGCAGAAAACCACUAGGAUUUUUCUUUGUCCUCCGCGAAUAGCCAGAUCCUACUUGAGCCGAUAAAGUCAAGCAGAGCUUCAAAUCAGGAUUUUACACCUAACAAUGGGGAUAUUUGUUACAACAAGCUGUAACAAUGGUUUUUUGCGGGAUUGUGCUGACGGAUUGGGCUUAUGAGUGAAACGGGGAGUGCUGACGGAUCAGGCUUUGAAGAUUAAAAAAAAAAUUGAAGAGUCUUUUUGGUAGUGGGUGCUCCGGAGAGCUUGAUAUUUGCGUUGCAAAGUUUGUUUGUAUGAUUGGCCGUCUUUUGCUCAUUCGCCUUGACCCCUUUAUAUAGAGAACUAGAUUCAUAUUUCCUUGCGGAUCAAGACAUAUCGGACCUUUAUCUCAACUAAGAAGGUAUCCCCUAGUCAGAUCAUGGAAUAAUCUCCAAAUAUCUUGCCAUAAUUUACCCACGAGGAAGAAAGCUAUUUACAAAGAUUUUGACCGCAGGUGUCGGUCUAAUGAGCUCGUAAUACUGGGAAAUAUUAAUAUAGACCCAAACAACAGAAUUGGCUUGCCUACGCAUUAGUCGGAUAGCCUGGGCAGUAUGUGAAAGUAGAUGAUCUCUUUUCUUUUCUUUUUUUGGUCUGAAAAGUAGAUGAUCUCGGUUGGGAGCUCUGGAGUAUCAACUUGCAUAUAACUCUUGAUUUUUGGUCUGAUUUUGAUGUUCCAUGACUUCCAUCUGUUAUGUUAAUGAGUGGCAAAUUAUACUGAAUAGGUAGCUCCUGAAGGCCUAAAUUCUCACUUCAACGUAUAUCAGUUCAUGAAGUGGAAUGAAAUAACAAACAUGAUGAAAUAUUCCAAAUCGACAAGUUGCUUGGACUCUUGAAAAAACAUCAACAUGUAAAUAACCCACAUUACAUGGACAACUCAGAAAGUUGAAUGAACGUACUGACAAACAAACGUACAUGAGGCUUUUAUAACUUCGACAAAAUUCCUUAAACCCCUUUGGCUUGGACACAGACAACCUAGCAAGAAGAAAUUCCAGCCUACAAAAAUCUAACCUCACAAAGUUGAUGUACGUACGUGAUUGAUUUCCUGUACUCUUGAAGUAUAUACUGGUUCUUGAAGAUACUUCUUACACUCGUUUCAGAACAGAAAAUGAAGAUACUCCUUACACUGGAUCGAAGUUCCAUUCCUAUUACAAAACCCCUUAUAUCUUUAAUGUUUUUUCUAUAGUCUUUAUGGUCCGUAUUCAUAUGCAUACAUAGAAACAUAUAUUCCUUAAGUUUUGAUCAACUAAAUAAUAUACUAACCUCGUCUGGAUGUCAUUGCUUUGAUCGGUUGACGUCGUCGAUGGAAUACAAGAUCUUCUAGUCUCUCCAGUCUUUUUAUGCUAUAUCUUAAUGGGGCAGAAUGUUUAGCGUAUUGACUGUGAGUCUAGGGACCCUGUAUUUAUAAGGUCGGAUGUCUUAAAGUCCUAACCCAUCGAGGAUACAACAAGACACAUAUUUAUGACCUAGUAAUCUUGACAGUAUAUCUCUAGGAUUACAUUAAUCCUUUAUUUGUCAAGUUUAUUAUUAAUAUAUUAUUUCACAUAGAUAUUUACCGGAUGAUCAUUAUUAUAUUCUCAAUGAUCAUUGACUAAUUUCCAUUUAUUUCCUUAGUAUUAUAUUACAUGAUAUGUCUAAUAUCUUACAUUUUCUACUUAAAUAUCUUUAAUGUUUGUUCUAGACUUCCAGUCUGUUAAAACUGCAAAAACAUACAUGAUAUGACCAUAUAUAUCAUCCUCCGGAUCCUUUCGAACUUAAUUUUUACUUAAAUAAUUUCAGUUUUAAUAUACAAUAUUACUAGGCCGGGGCAUAAAUCUAUAUUCUUAAACAUGAACAUAUAUAGAAUAAUUUAUAUUUUUAAUAUACAAUAAGCUUGGAUUUCGUUUCUCGUGUAGAAGAAUGAAUAUGCUCCAUUAUUACACAGGAGAAACGUUAACCUAGUUAGCCCCUUGCCAAAUAGACUAUUUGACAUUCUACAGAGUGCAGGUCUUAACCAAAUAUAUACAAAUUGCAAAAAUUUGUUUGGCUGUAGUUUCUGGUGUGACAAGUGCAGCACAAUUCGAUCUCAACCUUGAUCUUCCUUCUAAUAUAGUCGCUCCCUCUCUGAAUUAUUGGUAGGCAUGUUCUCCAUCUUUUCUCAUAAUGCAAUAGUGUAGAUCAUUGGUUCUUUCUUGAUCGAUGGCCGAUGGUGGCAUGGUGGGCUAUUGUGUAGGUUAAUUACGUAUUACAGCUUUCAAAACUUGUACAUUUGAGGCAAAGCAAAUUUUCCGUGGAGCUGAAGGUUUUCAUCCAUUCAGCACUAUAACAGAAGAACACAAAAUAACUGCAUCACAACUUUGUACAUUACGCUUGCCUAAAUGAUCGAAAUCAGACAUUACAGCCAGAAAAACUGCUCCUAUACUGCUAUACAACAAGUCUCUACUCUCUCCUCUCUUUUGAAAAAUAAGACAACGUUCUAUAAGAUCGAAAGCACAUAUGUGUAGUGCCCAUUUGUUAUCGGCACAGAUGUGACUGUUUUUAAGCAAGUUGAAAGUGCAGUCUCCAUGAAAUGGUGUGAGCAUGCUGAUCGAGCGACCUCAUAUAUUUAUUAUAGACACGAACGUCUACACUUAAUUGACAUGAUAAGAUUCUUGCACUGCUAGCUAACAUGAUCCAGAUCUGUUCUAGAUUAAUCUAGCUAGCAGCUGUUAGCUUGCUCUAAGAGCAUUUUUAGAUUGACGUAGAAUAAAUGUGCAUCAACGUUCAACAGAGAAAUUCAUACAAAAAAAAAAAACGUUCAACGAGAAUGAACCACUUGAAACAGCUUAGUUAACGAUGGCUGACCAACCACUUGAAAUAGCAUAUGCUAGCUUUAUGUUCUAUAUAUAAAUAACUUGUUCGUUUAUUUAAAAUUCAUUUGCUUGUAGGCAUCUGAUUUAAGCUAGAAAUCGCAAAAGCUGGAUUGUGUUCAUCAGCUUCAGGAUCGAUGUACAUAUCAAUAGCUUUCCACAGGGUAUAUUAACAAUGUCUAUGUAGCACCUCAUUGUUGGAGAUGAGAUGAGCCGUAUAUGAAUAGUGUUUCAAUGAGGACAACACCCUAAAUAACACUUGAUGGUUGGAGUUGCCCUAAUAUUAGGUAUGAAUUACUAUCAGGUUUUACAUAGCUUAAAUUUAUCUCUUGUGAUUUGGUCACACUGUUUGGAAAUAUCAUCAACGGGACCCUAGCUAGUUUUGUAAUUCUUCUUGUUUUUUGUUUUUGUUAUUUUUAAAAACUUAUCCAUAAUUAGUAUAUAUUUUCAACUUGAUAAAUGUUUCUGCAUAUCUAUUGCUUACAACUUGAGAUCCAUAUAUUCAUGAACAAAUAGUAUUAAUUUCAAGCACAACAAAUAGUCUAAAUGAAAAAUCUCUCCUGCAAACAAGCGAAUAAGCAACAGUAAAAUGUAGGAAAAUAAUCAUAUAUAUAUAUAUAUAUAUAUAUAUAUAUUCUCCCCCCUCAUCCCCUUCACUAUAUAUCAAAUUAUCAAUCCCAUCCGCCUGCACACAAGCAACAUAUCCUCCAUGCUGACCAUGCAAUCUUCUACUAUCCUCCUCCAUUUUCUCAAUAAAUUAACAACUGAUCGGAAAACCAACUUAGACAAAACCAACCUCCAUGACCAACCACACCAGGAGAUUCAUCCUUCACUAUCUCUUCUGGAUCCACAAUUCCAACAUAUGUACAUGUGCCACCAUGCUCGCUGUUAAACUCAGACUUGCCGGAGUGAGAUGAGGGGAAGGCGGAAGACCCGACCAACAUUGACAAAGUUUUUUUUUCUUCUUUUAAGCUGGACCGCCUGCCUGCCUAGGCGCAGUCCACGUAAGUUUCACCUAGCCCACUUAGACCCAGUCGCCUAGGCGAAAUCGACGUGAAAUGUCCGUUGUGUCCCCUGGUUUUUGCCCCUAUAUAUAAAGCCCUUCGGAGUCUCUUUCCUCACUUCUCGGUCGCCGAUCACCGGUUUGAUUUGAAUGUUGGGUCAUGGAGAUAGAGUGAUAUUUGUUCUGGGUAAGUUGGCUGAACCCAUCAACUUAAAGCUUUGCUUAAAGGCAAUGUAAUGUUAUUAUAUUGAAAACCCUUUCUGGUUUUGCCCAUUGCAUUCUAUUUCUCCUUUAUUUACUUUUGAUCACAUGCAUUACGAAUGAAAUAUCUGAACUUUUUUCUGUUUGUUAGCCCAGUAUUUGGAAAUUUUAAUCACUUAGUUUACAUCCAUUGCAUAUCGACUUGGGUUGGUUGCCUGGUCCCAAAGUAUUCUUCUUUUGUGAAACUGCCUUUUAGUGUUUGCUUAAGAUGUAUACAACUAUACAUAACCUUAUUGAACUGAAUUCAUAAGUGAUCUACAACCAUUACUUAUUACCACUAGUUAUUGUGGUUUACAUUUCCAUUGACAGACAUAGCAUCAAACUUUUGUAGAGCUUUUGUUCCUGUUAGUAAUAGUAUCCUCUAAUCUGUAUCUGUUAAUCAACCAGGAAACCAUAAGGGUUACUUGUACUUAACUCACAUUCUUUUUCAUAAUGUCCCCUUUAUUUAUAUUAGUUUACGAUUUUCUUGUACUUUUUGACUCUUUACUUUGAGUUUGAUUCAACAAUUGGCCUGCAUGAAAGUCUCCUCCCUUAUUACAGUUUUCUUGUUGUGUGCCUGUUUUGAAGCCAUAUUAAGCAACUCAUAAACUGUGAAAUAUAAUAAAGCAUAUAGAGUUUAGAUACUUAAAUGGUCUUAGCUAGGCACCAUGUCUUCAAAGAAGUUCUGUUUUCAUGUCCUUUGAAACUUGUAAUGUUAAUUUCUCUAACAAAACCAGAGAGAAACCAGGUGCCAUGGGCCACAAGCAUUUGCAACUGCAAGUUCUCAAGCUCCAGAAGUUUGUAGGGAGAGCACAGUCAACAGAUUUAGUAAUAUUCCUGACAAUGUGGCUCAUCACAUCCUGUAAUGUUGUCUAGGCUUCAGCUUUAGACAACUCGUUCAAGUGAGCAGUGUCCAAAAGAUGCAGAGAUUUUUAUCUGACCUCAUGAUUGAAUUUUAUUUCUAGGGAUGCAAUAAACAGGCAGGAUCAGGUUUACCUGUUGAAUUCUAUAGAUAGGUUCUUGAUUCUUCAUGGGGAUAAUAGGAUACAGCGAUUUCGUAUCGAUUGGAACUCCUAUGCAGGUCUCUGAAGAGGUUUUCCAAAUAGUGACCUGGGUCGAUAUUGCAUUAAGGUGUAAUGUUGAAGUGCUUGAGCUUCAAUUGAGAUUGCAUAAAGCAGAUAGCCCAUUGGUACCUCCAAGUGCUCAGGUAAACUUCCUUUUGCAAAUUUGGAUAUUUUCUUUUUACUGGAUGUUACAAGGAACAUGUCUCUGCUAUAAUGGUAGAUAGCUAGUUUGUGGUUCUUAAACUUCAUAAUUGUGUUGAAACUUGAAACCGAUAUAUGAAAUUGCUCUUACACUAAUUACGGAGCAGCAAAUUGCUGCAGUUUUGGUUCGAAAGCAAUUUAGAUUACUUGUCAGUAUGAAGGAAACUUUAUGAAAAUUAUACAACAGGUCAUUUAAUAUGCUUUUAUUUAUUGAUUUUUUCCAUCUGAGAAAAGUAUGGAGAAAGGGGAGAUGAAGAAAGAGAUGGAGAAAUGUGUAGAAGAGAGGUUGGUUAACAAAUCGACCAAGACUAUUACUAAAAACCAUUAAAGAUGCUCUUCCCCCUUCAUUAUUUUAAUUUUUUUAGAUAUCUUCUUCCUCGUCUCUCUUCUCUCUUUCUCUGUCACCUCUCUCAAAAUGAAUCCUUCCCCCAUGAUUUUAUAGUGAUUUAUGUAAGUGUGAGGGUCUUUUUUAAAAUGAAAUGCGACUAGGCCAAAAUCAAUCCAAUAAUCCGAUUAUUGGGAAGACUUUGUACGUGAUUCAGAUCAAGUAGAAAUCAAAAGGAGCUUGCAGCGUGAAGCAUGGUGUGGGGGAGCUAGAAACGCACUGCGGUGAGAGAAUUUGGGGGUUUUCUGGGUAAGGAUGUCUGAGAGAAGCGGAGGUUGAAGGUGGUUGUUUUGGGAAGAAGAUGGUUAGCUGGGUAAAGAGCUUGAAGGCAUGAAGGCUUGAAUGCUUGGGAUUUUCAAGGCUGUUUGUAGGUGUUUUCUGGGUUUUACAGGAUUAUCUUCAUGAUCUUUUCUACUGCAGGGACUCACCUUUUAUAGGCUCAAUGGAUAAGGUUUUGAUGAACAAAAGCAUAUGAAUAUCUGGGUAAAACAAAGUAGUCUUCUGGAUACAUGAUUUCUGCCUUAAAACCAGGAAAAAGAAGCUUACUUGUGAUGACUGCUAAUUGCUGCAGUGAUAGAGACAUGAUAGCACAAAACCUGGAACGAGGUGUGAAAGAGAGAUUGGAAAUCGUGAAUUAAUGCUUUGAGGGAGAAGAAGAUAACUCUUGAUUGAUUACAAGGUUGCUCCUAAUAAGAUGAUAUGAUCGCUUUAGGAGAUUAAGACUGCUGCGGGGAGGAAAGAAUCUGGAAAAUUGGUUGCUGCGUGAAAAAGAUGAAUCGAAGAAGAAAAAGGUAACUGGGCUUCUCUAAGUGGGUUUGUGCAUUUGGGCUUUUGGGUUUUAAGGAGGGAAUGACCCAAUCCUAUAUUCUCAUGCAUGUUCACCGAUUCACCGUCGAUUUAAGUCAUUGGGCUUGGAUUUCGAGCCCAAGAUCGAAACCACCAAUAACGUUAAACCGACAAAUGAGCAUUAUGCGUUUCCGUAACCUUCCACACCACACCCACUUCUGCAAGCCCCAAAGAUGCGUGGAUGUGGCUUGGGUCCACAUCAAUGGGCAUAUUUGCUUGACGUGUUAAAAUCCUAAUAUUAUAGGAAUUUGCACGAAUUGCAUAACAAAUUGUCGCGUGGCAAAGUGCAUGAUUUUUCGGGUAUCAACAGUAAGUUAUGAAACAUGUAUGGUCCCCAUUUUUUACUAUUGAUUUUGCAUUUAGCUGAACUUAAUCACCAGUAUAUAUUUUUUGGUGAUCACAUGCUUUGUAUUUUUAAGUAUCAGCCUGAAUCUUUGUAAUAAUUUUAUAUUGCAGUUAUAGGGAAGAUUUCAUGCUUCCACCAUUUGAUGUUAUUACUUACUGGAGUAUGCAUAUUCUGAGUUUCACUGAUGGCUAGUCCCUCCGAUGGUGUCUCUUCUGAAAGGGAUGCCUCAUUUUACUCUGUACAUGGAUUCUUAUCCUUCCUUGGAGCACAUCCAAAGUAAGUAGAUGUCUGUGUUGAAACUUUGAAAAUACAGAGCAUUUUGAUCUUAUUAUACUACAAUUUCCAUAGAUUGUAUAGCCCCUUAUAUGUUAAUGUAUAGUCAUCCUUUUACGUAGUGCAAUUAUGGGAAUUUUAUUUUUCAUUCUGUAUGUCUCGAAAAUUAUAUCUUGGUAAGUUUAGAUUUUAAAGAGAUUUGCUUGUUUUCUUUGCAGGCUUGUGGAUUUAAUAGCAAAUACUGGAAAUCCCAAAACCUUGAUUUUAUGUAUGAGCUUAAUGAGGUAUUGGCCACCGGGUUUAAUAAUAAUGCGUUGGAGUUAACAAGGUACAUUCUUGAGCAUGCUUCAAUUUUGGUUCAGUUUUUUUUUUCUGUGAUUCUAUAGGCUGUGGGAAGGACAGUGUAUGAAGCUUUUAGUUUGACCCAUAAACAAUAUCAUUUUGUAACAGAUUUUAUUGGUUCCAAGAUCCUGUAACAGUGGUUCAUCAAGGAUUGCAUUGUGGUAGACCAGUUAUCCCGAAAAGAAUGUCAUGAUGAAAACUUGCCAUGCAGCUUACAAAGGAUCCAAAAUGGAGAUUCUUCAAAAAACAGUCAGCACUCAGAAGCUAAUGACUUGGACAAUGUCAACGGAGAGCGAUGUGGAUCGAGGAAAAGCAUAAGAGAAUUGUGACUAUCAUUUCACAAUGAUUUGACAGAUUGAAAUAAACCCGAGGCACACUGAUUAUCAAACACAAGAUUUGGAAGCAUAGCCGGUUCGUACCUCCAAGUGCUCAGGUAAAUUUCCUUUUGCAAAAACAAAGAUGGAAAUGGAGUGUAUUUCAGUUUUGCACAUCGCUCAAAUUACUAUACUCAAAUUUUCAUAGAUUGUAUCGCCCCUUAUAUGUUAAUGUAUAAUAAUCCUUUUAUGUAGUGCAAUUAUGGAAAUUUUUCAAGGCAAGUCAAUAACGGUAGAUUGCUAGUUUGUGUCUUAGACUUCAUAAUUGUGUUGAAACUUGAUAUAUGAGCUUUUAGAAUGAUUACAAAGCAGCAAAUUCAUAUUGAGGAUGUUAUUACUUAGUUGAGUAUGCAUAUUUUGAGAUUGACUGAUGACUAGUCCCUGCCAUUGUCUCUCUUCUGAAGGGGUCGCCUCAUUUGAAUACUCUGUACGUGGACUCUUACCCUUCCUUGGAGCACAUCCAUAAACCCAAAGUAAUUGGAUGUCUGUGUUGACACUUUGAGAAUACAGUGCAUAGUGAUCUUAAUAUACUCAAAUUUUUUUUGAUUGAAAUGGAAUUUUAUUAACUUCAGACCAAAAGUCAUAUGGGUAAUAAUUCUCAAAAGAGAACCCCCAAUACAUCAAACAUUACUAUACUCAAAUUUCCAUAGAUUGUAUCGCCCCUUAUAUGUUAAUGUAUAAUAAUCCUUUUAUGUAGUGCAAUUAUGGGAAUUUUUCAUUCUGUAUGUCUUGAAAAUUAUAUCUUAGUAAAUUUAGAACUUUAGAGAGAUUUGUUUGUUUUCUUUGCAAGCUUGUGGAUUUAAUAGCAAAUACUGGAUAUCCCAAAACCUCAAUUUUAUGUAUAAGCUUAAUGAGGUAUCAAUAGCUUUGGCCACCGGGUAUGAUAAUAAUGCGUUGGAGUUAGCAAGGUACAUUCUUGAGCAUGCUCCAAUUUUGAGGAAUAUGUUUCAUAUUUUAUCUACCCCAAACAGUUAUAUGUUAUACAGAGAAAAGAACGAAAAUAAAACAACGGGUAAGAGCUUUUAUAGGAAUUUAUUUAACGUUACAUUAUUUCUAAUCUUGUAGCGUUUGUUGAUGAAUCGAUUGGAAAUAUUUUAGGAAGAUUUUAUUAGGGAACCCCAAAUUCUGUAAUUUUCCUUACCUUCAACUGUUUCUUACCAAUAGAGUACGAUGAAAUUUUCAUUUCAAGUAUACUGUUUUGAUUCUGUUUUUGGGUUGCUGCGUUAAAUAUGUUCAUACAAGUUUGGUAUACUGUUUAUAAUUUGGAUAGUUGCUAGGAAAAAGGGUACGCAAAUAUGUUACCAAUGUGCCGGUCUAUUACUGAAAUGGAUAUUCGAAGGUAACUAGGGUGAAAGGUACCUUAUAUUCGUGAAAUAUUGCACUACUAGAAGAAAAACUUUAGCCGACGAAAAUAAAAAAACCAGGCCGACGAAUUAUUUUUUCGUCGGCUAAAGUCCACGAAAUUUCCCUUCGUCGGCUAAUUAAAAAUUUUCAUCGGUUAUGGUCAACUUUAGCCGACAAAAUUAAUUUCGUCGUCUGAAUAAUUUUUUUCGUCGGCUAUAGUCUGUGAACUUUAGCCGAUGAAAUUUUUAAAAGUUUAGCCGACGAGAAAUAUAAUUUCGUCUGCUAAAGUGCUUUAAUUUCGACUGCUAAAGUGCCUUAUAUUUGCAGAUCUGGACAACAACUCAUCUGGGAAAAAAAACUAUACGUAGAACCUUCAAACGCAAAAAAGUCGUGAAAUAAGAUAUGACCAGAAUGGUGAAAUACGUCCACGGUUGAAAAAUCACGGUAUUCCGGUAAAGUCUCGGUGCCGAUAGUUGCGGUCAAUGCAAUUUACCCUUAUUAUUCAUUAUGCUGCAGAUUUGGUUUUUGGUGUCCGAUUGACUAUUGUGAUACCUUUCCGGAAGCGUAACGGCCCUACGAGUCAAACUCAUUGCUAAUGCCAUGUUGUAUGGGCCUUUUUGGCCAUCCGAGUCCGUUUAGGGCUUCAAAAUGCAGUUUUCUUAUUUCCGAUUAGAGUUGACCGUUUCGAUCGAGCCCUUAACGUUGUCGAAUCCAGUUGAAUUUUUUACCAUAGACAUCUUUCGUCAUAAUGAUGAUAUCGGACGGUCGAAUUUUGGUUUGUAAAUUUUAGUCAUCGGAAUCACAACGUGUCUACUAUUUACCGUUAUUAUUUCCUAUGGGGAGCCCUAUCGUCGGAAGGUAAAUGUCUCAAAAUUUUUAUAUGGGCAGUUGCGUCUCAUCUACGUGAGAGUUUUUUGUGUGGAAGGUUUGACCAAACCACGUAAUAUAGAGGGAGAUAUGAGCGUUUUCGUGUGAUAAGUGACGAUGGAUUAGGGUUACCUGUUUCGAUCGAGUCCUUAACGUUGUCGGAUCUAGUUGAAUUUUUUACUAUAGACAUCUUUCGUCAUAAUGAUCAUAUCUGACGAUCGAAUUUUGGUUUGUGAAUUUUAAUCAUCGGAAUCACAACGUGUCUACUAAUGUUAUAUAACUUAUUUAGUAGGUUAUACAACUUUGUGAACCAACUCUAUAUAGGAAGCAAAAUUAUCAAAAAUCUCGUGAAAUAAGAUGUGUUCAGAAUGGUGAAAUACGGCUAUGGUUCAAAAAUCACGUAAAUCGGGUAAAGUCUCGGCGCCGAUAGUAGCGGUCAACCCUAUUUACCGUUAUUAUUCCCUAUGGGGAGCCCUAUCGUCGGAAGGCAAAUGUCUCAAAAUUUUUAUAUAGGCGGUUGCGUCUCAUCUACGUGAAAGUUUUUCNNNNNNNNNNNNNNNNNNNNNNNNNNNNNNNNNNNNNNNNNNNNNNNNNNNNNNNNNNNNNNNNNNNNNNNNNNNNNNNNNNNNNNNNNNNNNNNNNNNNNNNNNNNNNNNNNNNNNNNNNNNNNNNNNNNNNNNNNNNNNNNNNNNNNNNNNNNNNNNNNNNNNNNNNNNNNNNNNNNNNNNNNNNNNNNNNNNNNNNNNNNNNNNNNNNNNNNNNNNNNNNNNNNNNNNNNNNNNNNNNNNNNNNNNNNNNNNNNNNNNNNNNNNNNNNNNNNNNNNNNNNNNNNNNNNNNNNNNNNNNNNNNNNNNNNNNNNNNNNNNNNNNNNNNNNNNNNNNNNNNNNNNNNNNNNNNNNNNNNNNNNNNNNNNNNNNNNNNNNNNNNNNNNNNNNNNNNNNNNNNNNNNNNNNNNNNNNNNNNNNNNNNNNNNNNNNNNNNNNNNNNNNNNNNNNNNNNNNNNNNNNNNNNNNNNNNNNNNNNNNNNNNNNNNNNNNNNNNNNNNNNNNNNNNNNNNNNNNNNNNNNNNNNNNNNNNNNNNNNNNNNNNNNNNNNNNNNNNNNNNNNNNNNNNNNNNNNNNNNNNNNNNNNNNNNNNNNNNNNNNNNNNNNNNNNNNNNNNNNNNNNNNNNNNNNNNNNNNNNNNNNNNNNNNNNNNNNNNNNNNNNNNNNNNNNNNNNNNNNNNNNNNNNNNNNNNNNNNNNNNNNNNNNNNNNNNNNNNNNNNNNNNNNNNNNNNNNNNNNNNNNNNNNNNNNNNNNNNNNNNNNNNNNNNNNNNNNNNNNNNNNNNNNNNNNNNNNNNNNNNNNNNNNNNNNNNNNNNNNNNNNNNNNNNNNNNNNNNNNNNNNNNNNNNNNNNNNNNNNNNNNNNNNNNNNNNNNNNNNNNNNNNNNNNNNNNNNNNNNNNNNNNNNNNNNNNNNNNNNNNNNNNNNNNNNNNNNNNNNNNNNNNNNNNNNNNNNNNNNNNNNNNNNNNNNNNNNNNNNNNNNNNNNNNNNNNNNNNNNNNNNNNNNNNNNNNNNNNNNNNNNNNNNNNNNNNNNNNNNNNNNNNNNNNNNNNNNNNNNNNNNNNNNNNNNNNNNNNNNNNNNNNNNNNNNNNNNNNNNNNNNNNNNNNNNNNNNNNNNNNNNNNNNNNNNNNNNNNNNNNNNNNNNNNNNNNNNNNNNNNNNNNNNNNNNNNNNNNNNNNNNNNNNNNNNNNNNNNNNNNNNNNNNNNNNNNNNNNNNNNNNNNNNNNNNNNNNNNNNNNNNNNNNNNNNNNNNNNNNNNNNNNNNNNNNNNNNNNNNNNNNNNNNNNNNNNNNNNNNNNNNNNNNNNNNNNNNNNNNNNNNNNNNNNNNNNNNNNNNNNNNNNNNNNNNNNNNNNNNNNNNNNNNAUUUUCAAAAUUUUCAAAAGAGUUUAGCCGACGAAAAUAAAGAAUUUCGUCGGCUAAAGUUCUUUAUAUUACCGAAGGUGGAUGGUAAGAAAUCUGUUUCACCUGCCAGAUUUUCUUCUCGGCCUAGCUCCGCCGUCAAGCCACCGGAGACCGCCACACUAGUCCCAAAAGCUUCGUCGUCGUCUCUACUUCAUUGCUGGAUAGGUGGUGCAUCGAGUGGCGCCGCCGUGAGAGAUAAAUCGAGCUCCAAAACUCCGCCGGUUCGGAUUUGGUGUCGAUCGAAUUUCUCCUUCCUCAGGUCACCAUUUGGUGAGUUCUAUAUAUGAAUAAGUUGAGUUUGAUUAGUACUACAUUCCCCUAGAAUUUGGUAGCUCGAUUCGGUAUGUGUGAGGAGAAUCGAAGAUUUGAAGUUUUUAGGGUUUAAAAUUAGGGAUUUUUAUAUUUUGAUUCAAUUAACCUAUUUAGGCUUAGAAUUGGGCUUUGACUUCUUCUAGAAAGUUGUUCGAAAUGUUGAGAAGAAGAUUCUGUCAAAUUUGGGGGUGAUUGGAGGUGGCCGAAAGUUUCUGUAGUUUUUUUUCAAAAACCAGCAACUUUAGCCGACGAUAUUUAAAGGUUUAGCCGACGAUAUUUAAAGGUUUAUUCGUCGGCUAUAGUAUUUUUAAAUUUUUUUAUAAGGUUUAGCCGACGAAUUAUGGCAUAUUUCGUCGGCUAUAGUUAUUUUUAAAUUUUUAUAAGGUUUAGCCGACGAAUUAUGGUAUAUUUCGUCGGCUAUAGUUAUUUUAAAAUUUUUAUAAGGUUUAGCCGACGAAACAGACUAUAUUUCGUCGGCUAUAGUUAUUUUUUAAAAAUUUUUUUUAUAAGGGUUUUAGCCUACGAAACAUACUAUAUUUCGUCGGCUAUAGUCUGGGAAAAAUUUUUUUAUUACAGACUUUAGCCGACGAAUAUCUUAAUUGUUUCGUCGGCUAAAGUCUAGGAAAAAAACCGACGACAUGUUUUUCGUCGGCUAAACUGCGGGACUAUAGCCGACGAAAUUUUUUUUUCGUCGGCUAAAGUCAUCACAGACGAGCUUUUCCCGACGAAAUCUUGGCCGACGAUGGCUCGUCGGCUAAGAUCUUAGCCGACGAAUUAAGCUAACAGUUUUCGUCGGCUAAAUUUUUCGUCGGCUAAAGUGCUUGUCUUGGUAGUGUUGACAGAAUAGGUAGGUAUUUUACAUUGUGUAAUACCCCGGAAAUUUGAUAUUAGUUUCUAAUUUUAUUUAGGAAUUUUUGAGUUAGAAGUUAGUGUGUUUUGAAGUUCGAAGGAAGAGCGGAAGGGUUCGGAUGCGUAAAUUGCCUGAACCGGUUUUAUGGUUCUGAAGGGUCAACAGUUGACUUUCUAAUCCGUUGGGUUUCUCGAGAAACUUCCUUCACGAAAGUUGUAGAGCACGACGAUACGAGUUCGUAAACACGUGGCACGCGUAAAACGGACUUCGUAUGAGAAAGUUAUGGUCAGCAGAAGUUGUGGCUUUUCGGGAAUAUUUAGGUUAAAUAGGAAAAUUUCGUUUUGGGUUCUCUUAUUUUUCAGAAUUCCUUUUCUUCCCCUUUCUUCUCUCUCCCCGACCCCGAGAGAACCCAAGCUUCCCAGCCGACCCGACCCGGACCCGGUUGACCCGACCCGGACCCGGUUGACCCGACCCGGAUUUUCCGGCCAUCUCCGGCCGACCCAGGCGACGGCACCGGUCGGAGUCGUUUCUCCUUGGCGGCGCAAUCUUCCCUGUGUUGGUGGAUGAGGAUGACCCGAGCUGAGCUGUGCAAGUCGAGCGCCACAGUGAGGGCGGGCGACCCGGUUUGCAACCCGAUCGGUUUCCUACCUCCGACGGCGGCGACGCAGCUUGGAAACGGUCGGGAUAUGAAGUGUUGGACGUCCUCGUUCUAUCCCUGGUGGUGUUGAAGCUCAACUCAAGGCGGAGAGUGGCGGUGGUGGAUCCCAAUCUUUCCGGCGAGUUUCCGGCUUGUUUCCGGCCGAUUGGGGCGAAACCUCAGGUAUAAAAGAUGCUCCCCUCUCUUUAAUCUUCAAGUUUUGUGUUGGGAGUUUGUCUUAAUUCGAAAGUUUUGGGGUGGCGCGUGGGGCCCACUCGCUGCCGUCGGUGGUGGCGUGUCCGGCAGGGGUUUGGGAGGUCUAUAGUCCUUGUUAGGUGGUGCUCAUCAAUACGAGCACGUUAGCAUGUAGAUUGUAGGUUUUAGAGUUGUUUGAGCAUGUUAGGGUUUGGUGAAGUUCUUCUAGGGCGUGUGGGGCCCACUCGCCGCCGCCUGUGGUGGCGUGUGGCGACGCGCCCGGUAGUGUCUGUGGUGUUUGUGGUGCUGGUUAGGUAGUGCUCAUCGAUACGUUUGUGUUGAUUUGUGGUUUUUAGAUUUUGGUUGUCAAUAAUUGCAUGCUUGGACUUUUUGGUUAAUCUUAGAUUUGUGGAAGGUUUUUAAGUGUCCUACGACCUUGGGAAGUCUCGGAAGAAGGUUGCCCCCUUUUUGGCAAUCUUGGGUUAAACCUUGUUUAAGGGUGCAAUGUUAUGUUGUUUAAAUAAUUAUUAAGGAUGACUUUGUGUUAUCUAGGUGAUUGGCGAUUUUGGUGUUUUGCUUGUUCUUGUGGAGUUUAGUUUUGAGCUAGACGCUUGUGUUUGUGUGAAGACGCAGCGGGAGUAAAGGUGAGUAAAUCGCACCAAGGUUCAUGUUUGAACCAAAUUUUAUUAUGGUUAUGUGAUGAUGAUAAUGAUUAUGAUAUUUAAAUUAAUACUAUGCUUUUAAUUGUUUUAAAAUAUACGAGCUUGAUCGUCAACGGCUCAUAAGUAAGAUAAAACAAGUUUUCCUAAUUAUUAUUAAGUUAUUCCUGUGGAAUAAUAUUUUUAUUGUUCAUAAUAUUAUAUCCUUGUGAAGGAUAUAAUCAUAAGAUGUGAUCUUGUGUUAUGAUGAUUGUUGGAUAAAUAGCCUAGCCGGGUUCUAAGCUUUUAAUCGGGUGAUUGGUUGCGGUUAAGAUGCUAUUUAUCAUUUUUAUGUUUUGAUAUUAAAUAGCCAAACCGGGUUCCAAGCCUUUAAUCAGGUGAUUGGUUGCGGUUCUGAUGCUAUUUAUUAUUGUGUUUUGGUAUUGGACAGUCAAACCGGGUUCCAAGCCUUUGGCCGGGUGAUUGGUUGCGGUUAGGAAUAGAGCUCUAGUCCGUCUGUCAGUGUAGGUCAUGGGAGGUACCUGAAGGUAUCUGGGACCCAUGGGUACAUAAAUUGUGUUGUAGGUCAUGAGAGGUAUUUAUUAAUAUAUGGGACUCAUGGGUACAUGUGUUUGUAAGAGUAUUGGUUAUGUGGUUUUUAACCUUGUUCUUAAUUGUUGUCGAUGAAAUUCUUUGUUUUGAGUAUCUCCUGAACUAUGCUUAAUGCAGGAGAUUCUCCAAUUUAAUUGUGUGAUUUUGAGUGAAAUUCCUGAACUAUCCUGUUUGCAGGAUUCACUUAUGAUUUUAUUGUUUUGAAGUGAUUCAUGAACUAAGUUCUAAAGCAGGAAUUACCGGUUUAUCUUAUGUGGUGUUAGAGAUGUUGAGUAAAUUUUGAGAAUUACUCAUACGAGCUUUUUAGCUUACCGGGUUUGUUGUUUACAACCCGGUGCACCAAUUCAUGGUGUAAGGGUUAGACUUGCAGGUGUUGAUCAACAGGGUUGAGGCAGAGGCAUAGUGGCUGGGGUUUAGAUGAUGUACAUUUUAUUUGUAUAUUAUGUAAGUUGUUUUAAGCUCGUGUGAGCAUCUUCUUUUUACUAGACUUUUGAAGUUGUAAAUAAAGAGAUGUAAUGUUUAACUCAGUCGAUGAGUUUUGUUGACAUUUACAUUUCCAGCAUUUAAGUUUAGUAGGGAUUUGUUGAGCAGGUCAUGUAGUCUUAUUUGUGAGUUAUAUCAUGCCCUAAAUUUUUGAAAUUUAUCCUUCGAAAAUUGGGGUGUGACACAUUGAGUUAUCUUAGUAUUGCUACUGAAAAGGUUUUUUUUUUUUUGGUUUCCUUUAUAUCGUUCUGGGGGUUUGAGGAACAAACAAACUCCACAACCAGAAAACCUCCGCAAUCACCACCACCGCCAUACCAGCUUUCAAACCCCGCCAGCUCAUGAGAAAGGCGGACACCUUUACCACAAAGCUGACGGGAAAACCAGUACUGCUACUGAAAGUUAUGUAAAGUAAUGGGAGGCUGUUGGUUCAGUGACUUUUAUUCUUUUUCUCUGUGAAUCUAUACGCUAUGGGAAGGACAAUGUAUGAAUCUAUAAAUUAACAAUAUCAUUUCGUAACAGGUUUUAUUGGUUCCAAGAUCCUGAAACAGCGGUUCAUCAAGGAUUGCAUUAUCCAGAAAAGAUUGAUGGAUAAUUAAGAAUACAUUAGCCCUUGUAUCGAACAAGAGAAGUCUAGUGAUAAAGGAUGUACAUUUGGCCCACCCCGUCAUGAUGAAAACUUUUCAUGCAGUUCACAAAGGAUCCAAAAUGGAGAUUCUUCAGAAGCUAAUGACUUGGACAAUAUAUGUCAAUGGAAUGAGUUGUGGACCAAGGAGAAGCAGUUCCACAAAAGAUUUGGUUACUUCCACUAUUUGAGGAAGAAGAAUAAGAGAAACCACAUUGUAAUGUGACAGUUGUUAGAGAGCUGAUGCGAGCGCUUCGAGAAGCAUCAGAUCCUACAUUGCAUAGUCUUAAGCUUCAUUUGUUUAUUUCCUAGGUGAACUAGGAAAAGUGUUCCUCGAUCAGUAAAACUGAGGAGCUAUGUUGUUUUAAUCCUGAAAAUUUGAAGGCAUUCAAAAGGCUGGUAAAGUGAAUACAUGGUUACAUAAAAUAAGUGGUGAAAUAGAACAUCUUAAAUCGACAAAUGCAACUGUGACAUAAAUUUAGAAGGUACUCAUGUCUGAACAUAAUAGAGACAGAACUCACUCCAAUUUUCUUUGUUGGAUGCCUCCGUGUUCUUGUCAGGGUCUAAUUAACAAGAAAUAUUCUUUACUAAUACUUUAAAAAAAAAAAAAACAUAACAUUCAAAGCUUUCGGGCUAACCAAAUUAUGACUUAGAAAUCUCAAAAAUAAACGCUGAAUUUUGGUUGUAUUUUUUCACCUCUCAAACUACAAAAAGCUAGUCAGAAGUCUAUGUUUGCAGGUAGCUAGACUAUGAAAAAAAUAUGUUCUUCAAAUUCCCCCCAAAUUUUUCUUUUUUCUUCAACGGUAUGUAUUCCCUCUUAAAAGCAAGUUUGAAUUUAAUUGAAAUAUUUGGCGAAGGCAAUGUGAACACGUGACUUUUUGCCUGCGGACAAGAAUAUACAUCUGAACAUAGGCCCGCAGCUGAUAACAAAUAAAAACAUGCCACGUCAACCUUGUCAAACCGAUUUCAGAGUCCGCCAAAGUUAAAUUUACGAAAUUGCACCUCAGCUGUGGACCUUUAUAACCCGCAUUCCACCGACUUUAGAUUUUCUGGGUUUCCUCUCUUUUCUGACAGCAAGAUUGCCUGGGUUUCUAGAACGUUUCUCUGCAAAAUUUGAGUGAUCUCCUCUAGAGGUACCUCUUCUUCUUCGUCUUCUUCUUUGGUUUCCUUUCCCAAAUUUCCAUAUGAAUUGUUCUCUGGGUCUCUGAGCAUGGUUCUUUUUCUCUUACUGUUGAGGGUUUUGGGCUAUGGGUUCUUGGUAACGAGGGUUUCAAGCUUUGGCUAAUUUGCCAAAUUUUGUUGCAAUUUUUUCCUUUUAUGAAUCUUUAAGAGUAUUGGGUAUGAUUAGAGCAACUAAUUUCCGUUGUAAAUUGACUUUGUUGAAUUGGGGUUACAGGGUAGUUUGAAUUGAUGGGUUUAUUCUACCGUGUUCAUGGCUUCAUCUCUGUUUAUUGGUUUCUGCAAUUUGGGCUAGUUCCAUUACAUCUUGUUUCUUUUCCUGCAUUUCUUUUUUACUACUAAAAAUGGGUUCUUUUGAGAUGGGGGCUUUGGUUUAACAAAAGGGUUCUACAAUUGGGUUCUUUUUUUGAUGGAAGGAUCAAUGAGCUUUUUCCAGGUCUUGGUGUCAUGUACAGUUGUUGUAAGGGUAAAGAGUUAUGAAUAGAGAAGUUAGCUACUGCAAUACAUCUCAUUUUGUUUAGUUGGGGACUUGGGUGUAGUAUAAAAAUGGUUACUACUCUUCAUGGGUUCAUCUGUUCUAUUGCCUUAUCUAUUGUGUUACUGUUGGUACUCCCAGAAAUUUUAUUAGGAACAUAAUUAGGCUUGUUAAUUGACAACUCUGCAUAUCAUUAUGUUGGUAUCAUCUUAGUGGAAGUUUUGGAUACUUAAACAUAGGUUCUCCCAGAUGUGACUGUGAGUGACAUUGAGAUGCUUAGAAUCACUAUAGAGCAGCUAUUAUGGAUUUUUAAACGUAUCAAUGCUGUUAGACAGUUGUGAAUACAAGUGCCUUAACGAUUUACUAUCCUUCUAGGUUCUGGAAAAUUGCAUUGCAUUGGGUUGAGAAUAGACAUGGUGAUUGAAAAGUCAGUGCCUCCCUUGGCAUCAUCAAAAGGAACUCUGUCACGAAGUAAUGUUCCUUUUCAGGAAAGAUUGGGAAGGUUUCCAAUGGAGAUUGGCGAGUGCUCUUCCCAUACUAAGCCACCUGAGGGUAAGAGUACUCAUAGACGCUCUGGUAUUUGUGAUGUUUCAUUAGGGAGUGGACCAAGAGCUCGGGUAAGCAGUUUGAGACCUAUCAGAGAAGCGGCUUCUGUUGGUAUUUCAAAGGAAGAGAUGGCUACAGGAGAAGAGUCUCAUAAUGAAGAUGGCAUGCGAAUGAAGGUGAAAGCUGCUCAGCGCUCAUUUUGGUUUGCUUUUAGAACUCUAAAAGAUGAUGAUCCAAAGGGUAGGAGGUUUGAUGCUAAGGCGGCAAAGGUUGUCAAGGCAAGUGGACGGUCUGUGAAUGAAGGGAAGCCAAUAAUUGGGAUUGUGCCGGGUGGUGAUGUUGGUGACGAUUAUACAUAUAGAGCACAACUCGGUGUAAUUGGGUUGCAUAGACCAAUUAGGGCAGGUAUUGAUUUUGUUAGGCAUGGUGGCAAGAGGCUUGCCACUAGCAUUGUGGCCUCGGGAAGCUAUGAGGAUGACAUCAAAAAUAAGAAGUCUAUCAAAUACACUGGCCAUGGGGGCAACUACAUGAAUGAAGAGAAGAAGAAAUAUGAUCAAAAGUUAGAGAGAGGAAACCUUGCUCUGAGGAAUAGUUUUUACAUGAAAAAUUUGGUGAGGUUGAUUCAUAGGAUCAAGAACUCGGAUGGUGAAUACAAGUAUGUUUACAAGGGACUGUUUUUGGUGACCAAGUGCAGCCGGAAAAGAGGAAGACAUGGAAAGCUUUUAUGGGAGUUUCACCUUGUUUUCAUUCACAAGGGUUGAGAAGCUCUGAUUUGUAACCCUCUCUAUGUUUAUAGAUCUCUCUCUCUAUGCUUAAGCCACCAUGUAUAGGCUCAUUAGGCUUUAUGGUUCAAAUAUAUUGUUUAGCAUUCAUGUACUUGACGGGAUGUUAGAAUAUACUAGAUUUGCUAAUGAGAUUUUUCAGAACUUUGGCAGCCUAGCUAUUAUUAUUUUGAGACGAUUUAUUGCUGAAUGGUUGUGUUAUGCUUCAUGCAUUUCUGCAUAUAAGGCUUUAAGUUUAGUUUUCUUCUUUUCUUUUAGUGCCAACUCAAGAAGAAGAAAAAGGUGUUGCUUCCACCAUGUGAUAUGUGUUAGAACAUAAUGCACAUUGGUCAAUAAGUAAUCUACUAGAUCAAUGAAGAAAAGCCUAGAAUAAUGCUGUAAUGAUCAUGAGAUGUAAUUAAGUCCUAGAGUUGUCUAGAGCUAGCAAAUGAUCUAGCUUGAUCUAGACUAAUCCAAUAGGUCGGUGGCUUAGUAACAAGGUCGGUUGACAAGUCAUAUAUAUACAUGUAGUAAACAGUAAACACAAUCAGAUGAGUGAAUGAAUUAAUGAAGCAAGCUAUUGAAGUAUAGUAAUUCCUCCUCUGUUUCCAUAUCCCUCUAUCUUAACCUCCUAAACUACUUGUCCUAAUAACAAACCUUCUCUCAAGUCUAGCUCCUAAACACCUUGUCCUAAACAUAUUGUUCUAGCCCACUACAUUCCAAACACUUCCGCAAGCUAAACUCCGAUUGUGGUAAUAAGCCACAAACUCUAAAAGUGGAACACCCACAAUAAUUUCUAACAAUGGUAUCAGAGCCUAGUGCGAUGAAAGCCUUGGAGCGUUAAAUUUAUCAGAGCUUGCUUCGAUCAAAUUUAGACGUUAAAAUUGUCCACCGUAUCUACCUCCACCUCCAACCAAUCAUCAAUUACUCUUCCUAUCUUCAAGGGGGAUAACUAUGACUUUUGGAGUAUCAAAAUGAGGACUUUCUUCAUGUCUCAAGAUCUAUAGGACAUUGUAGAUAAAGUGUUCUCAACUUCGGAAAAUCCAACGCUGGAGCAACUACGACAAGAAAAGAAAGAAAAGCAAAGAGAUGCGACGACACUAUUUGCAAUCUAACAAGUGAUGGACGACACAAACUUUUUAAGAAUCAUGGGAGCUACUACAUCAAAAGAAGCUUGAGAUCUACUAAAGGAGGAGUUCCAAUUAAGGAACUCAAAGGCACAUUCCCUCAAACUACAAACAAUGAGGAGAGAAUUAAAAAAUAUAAAAAUGAAAGAUUUUGAGAUUGUAAAAGAUUAUUAUUCUCGCAUUAAGAAAAUAGUAUAUCAAUUAAGAAAAUAUUAAUGAGACUAGAGUACUAGAAAAAAAAUACUCAUUAGCCUCACUAUAAAAUAUAAUCCAAUAGUUACUGCAAUUGAAAAUUUUAAAGACAUUUCACACAACAAUUUGCUUCUCGUAUCGACGAAUUAGAAGAGAUGUUAACCGGCAACCGUAUUUGGAAACAACGAUUAGUGGAUAUUGGUGACAAAAUUAAUAGGUUAUGUUUGAGCCCAAUUUUAUAUUCUGGUUAUCUUGUAAUAAGUUAGCCCAAGGGCCAAUACCUACGGUCCAAAUAUCUGUAUAUCAUUAGAUAUCUUAAGGAUUCGGUUAUGUGAUUUGAGUAGGAGAAUAUCUCUCAUGAUUCGAUUAAGAAUCUGAUUGCCUUGAUGCGCAAGUCAUUCGCGAACCUAUCUUAUAUAAAAGAGGUUCUAGGGCAAAUAAGGAAAAGGACGAACAAAUCAACAAACCCUUGCACCCUGCAUAUUAGACGCCUCUCCAGGAGCACCCAAUCUACCAAAAAGCCUCUUCAGGAGCACCAUCAAGCCUCAUCGCGAGCAAAAAUCCGCUUCACUCACCAAAAGCCUCGAUCAUGAGCAAAGCCCGCCCCCAGACCAUAAAGCCUCAAUCACGAGCACAAGCCCACCAAACCAUUGUUAUAGAGCCCCUCUCUAGCAAAUAUCCCUUUUAUUUUGUUGUUGAAGUAAAUCCUAGGGGUUUCCUUAUGUCGUAAGAAAGAAUCUAGCAGCAUGAUUGACCGCUCUUGCUUAAAAGUAUCAAGACUAGAUAGUUGCACCAACUCAGAAGUGCUGACAUGCUACACAAAGCCGGUUGUUUAAAGAAAGUCAAAUUUCACCCCGAACAUAUUGGCACUGCCCAAGCGGGACAUAUCAGUGGCAAGAUUGCGUCCGACAAUAUCUAUGAAAGGAAUUAUCUAUGCGUUCCUUACCGGAACAUUUGCACUGCAAACCUCACAAUCCACUGAAGUGCAAAAGCUUGACUAUUGAGCAAGUCAAUAAGCGUAUUCAGUUUAGAAACGAUGACUGGAGGAUCUGGAGUCAAGAAACUUGUCUCUCAAUAGCAGCCACAUGAUAUAGUUGAUCAAAUCCGUAGCAUGAAAGAAGAACUAAUCAAAGAGCAGGAAGAGAUGAUGUCAAUAGUUGCGGAUAUCUUUGAAGGAAUCAAAAGGAUGGAUGACCAAGUUUCCCGGCUUUGGGGCAAGAUGGAAAGUCACUCUGAAACUAUCCAAGAGCUCAAGGACAUUGCUGCCAAAUUGAAUGCAAUUGUCGUUGACAAGGUUCUUUGCAACACAGAUAAUAGCUCAGAAGGGAACGUUGUGUUGCAGCGAACACUUUUCCCGGAUGAUAAACUUGUGGAUUCCAUAGCUUCCAAAUCUCCUACUCUCAAAACCGGAGGACAGAUAGUGCUCAAUGUGACUCCACCAAAUGCCGGUCAAGUGAGGCCUCAUGUUAAUCCAACCUUCCGAGACCGAAUGUAGAGGAGCCAGUUGUGCAACCAGCACAAUAGGUAGGCGCGAAUAUAAUCAAUCUGCCUGUGGAUAUCCCAUCUCUCAUGGAAUAGAUGAUGCAGUGUUUUAGAGCUGAGGUAGCAGCACCUGCUGUGAACCUCACGUACAAGAAUCCUUACUCUGAUUAAGUCGCGAAGGGUCAGAAGAUGCAGCAACUUAUAUCUCUAGGUUUCAAGGCAAAUAAAGUCCCUUCAGGAACGAUGCUAUGUUGAAAUUAAAAUUUUUUGGUUCGUCCUCGGGUUCAGCUCUGACAUGGUAUACUAAAUUGAUACUUGGGUCUAUCCCUAAUUGUCCCACUAUGGAACCAAUGUCCAGAACCACUUUUGGUAAUCACUACUUCUUACUGGAUAAAUGCUGUUGGAGAUUUCACAUGAUAGAAUCAAUUUUUGCUUCUUUAACUGUUAGGAGAAUUGCAGAUCAACAGAAGUUUUUGAUACCAAAUCGUGUUGAAUUGAAUCGUUGUUGGUACCCUUUGUACUAGAAUCUACAUAGAGAGCUAUAGAGCAUAUUGGAUGUCAUGUUUUAGUUGUUGCCUUACCCUAUCAUUCUUGGUUGCUAGAUACAUGCCCUUCUUGAAAGGUGUUCAGGGUCUGGCAUUGCUAACUAACAGCUCUAGAAAGACCCCAAGGGUGGACAACUUCUAAGUUCUAACCCUGUUGUUCAUGGUCUAGUGAGUGGAAUAUUGGUAAGGAGUUUAGCUCUGGUUUUCAGCAUUUGUUCCAGAAGUGCUGCAGCUAUGACUCUAUACUUAGGAGAAGGUAUAAUGGACUUAGAAUUACUGCAACUUCAAAACUAUACUUGGGAGAAGGUAUUGCGCAAGACACUAAAUUUGAAAUAUAGAAGACGAAACAUAUAGGAGGAUAUAGUUAAUUUACAACUUUACAUUACAUUUAUACAUAUAUAGAGUAUAGUUCCUGACAUGAUCAGUACUUUCUUGCACUAGCUAACAUAAUCCAGAUUGCGAAAUAGACAGUACUAAUGCUACAUUGUUGGGCAUGGCUCACAGAGUGACCAAUUAUUACAAUUAACCACUUGAAAUAGCUUAGUUAACGAUGGCUGACCAACCACUUGGUAUCGGCAAAGAGGACAUACAUGAUUGUUUUUGAGCCAGUUGACAAUGCAGUCUCCAUGGAAACGGUGUGAGCAAGGCAACCGAGCAACUACCCUCAAAGGGGGUGGCUCUUUUCUUGGCGUCUUAGCGAUGGUGCCGCUACUGCUUUGUAGUCCAAGCAGCCUCUUGCUCUUCCUCUUGGGCUGUUGUUUGAAUUGUUUCUUGCCUUUUUUAUCAACUAGGUCCUCCAUACAAAUAACACAAGAGUCUUCAAACCCCAAGAAGCAGCCAUCAACUCUCUCUUUCUCCAUACCCUCAACUGAUGAUAUCGCAUCGUCUAGAAAAGCAUCGCAAGCAGAUGUGAACAAGCACUCCUUCACUUCCACUAUGUCGACAUGAAUGACAGAAGCUGUUGAGGCCACUGCUGGAUCUUCUUUUUCGGCCACCCGGAAUACUUCUUCAAUACAAGAUCGUCGUACAUGAUCGGGGAGUGGCUCCUCCUUAAAUCGGCGUGAAAAGAAGUCGACCAUUCUCCAUGUAUACUCACUCCUGUUGGAUAAUAGCUCGCUUCGAGGAAGAUCAGAGAUGACGAGUUCGUCACCUUUAUGGUGGUAAGGUAUGCCAUCAGACAUGGUUUUACCAGGUUUCAAGGAGACUCCCAUCUUAGUGUAGAUCUUUAUCUUGAUCUCAACCGAGUCCUCGCCUUCCCAUCGAUUGGGGUCGCUUGUGAGCCACACUUCGCUCUCGAAUGAACGUUUCUCAAAAUACAUGAUUGCUUCCACUACCAGAAUAUGGAAACAAUCUGUAGUCGACGAUUGCUAUUAUAUAGGCAUGCUAGCUAGGUAGUCCGAAUUCGACGAGGACUACAAUCCUAAUGCUGUUAGGGUUUAGCUAAAAGGAUUUUUGGAGAUUUCCGAAUGGGAAGAGGAUUCCGCUUUUAUAGCCAGCGUGGACCUAACUCCUAAGCAACCAAGUAAAAUGCGUCCCAAAGAAAAGAAAAAAAAAAAAAAGGAAAAAGAAUAUAAAAUCGGUCAAAAUGACCCCAAAAAAGAAAAAGAAAAAAGGAAAUAUAAUCGCAAUUAUAUAUGGUCAUUCUCAUUGUAUAGGUGUCAACCAGCUGUGCUUUGUGGCCACCGCAGACCACAAUAACGAUUCUCUGUUGCCCUCCACUGUUGCUCUCCUUCAACUCUAUAUAGCAACCUCACCCUCAUCUUCCAUCCCUUAUUCUCUUCCCCUACUACUUCGUCUUCAACCCUCACUUUCCUCUGUUGCAUUUCACUCUAGCUCAUUCACACGUACGUACGAGGCCAUGGCUCUCACACCUGCCAUGCUCGCCCUCACACUCUCACUCUUCCUCCUCCUAGCUUCAUUCUCCACAGCUCAACCACCCUCCUACUCCCCAACAUAUGCUCCCAUGACCACUCCCUCCACACCUGCGCCAACAACCACCAUCACUCCGCCACCGACCGUUUCAGCUCCUCCUCCCAUGGUCACUGCCACUCCGCCGACCAGUAUGCCUCCUUCAAUGCCUCCGAUGACUUCCACCAGCCCUCCUUCAAUGCCUCCAAUGACUUCUUCUACUCCUAUGCUCAGCCCUACAAGCCCAGCCCCGUCUACUAUGAUGAGCUCGCCGCCUGCACCAGCCGCACCAGGUGAAUCUCCCAUGGCGUCUACUCCAGGUUCAGGUGCAGUUGUUCAUGGAGUUAACAUGGCCUUGCAGCCAUUCCUGGCCGGAUCAGCUAUUGCUCUACUACUCCUUGCUUGAUUGAACUUAACGUACGUAGAUUUAUAUUGCUAGUAUAUCUGUGUAUCCUCUUUACAUUUUUGUUCUUUUUUUCCUUUUGUCUAUUUUUUUUUCUCUUUUGUUUGGUUAGUUCUGAUUUUUGGGAGCUCCAUUGUGAUUUCUAAGAGGAGAUUUAUCGGAUGUACGUACGUAUGUACUUAUGUUAAUAACGUACUCUUCAAUAGUUUGUAGCAUUUUUCAUAGAUGAAUAAGAGAGCCCGGCCGUCAUUCUUGUUUUGUGUAUAGAAGUGUGUACUAAUCAAUAAUUACAGUUGUUUACCUGCAUAGUUAAACUGCAAACACCUAAAACCUAAUCGAUCCUGUAUAUAUGAUCGGGUUCAAUUUACAGUUCGAUCGCCUACCACUCAUACCCUAGCUGGUACAGCAUUUCUAUAUUUCAUUUCAAUAUACGUGAUAAUAAUAAAUUGGGUCUGGAAAUUCAAAAUUUACUUCCCAACAAUAUCUCCAACUGUAUAUGUAUAUCAAAAACCCUAACACUCUUAGAGUUGAUCAAUGAAAUGGUGGUUGGGUUGUUGAAAUGGGUGGAUAGAGCAGUGAUAUUUCUGUGGAAAUAUCAAUGGAACAUAUAUGAUAGUGGAAUUUGUACAUGGUGGGGAAGGAAUGGGAUGAGAAAAUGAUAAAGUUAGGUGCAGCAUUAGCUAGGGUAACUAGUAAAGGAAUAAUGUGUGGAAGAAAUGGGAUAUGGUGAAUUGCAUAUUAGGAUAGGAUACAUGCGCGCAUGCAUUGCGUUCCAGCUUUGCUUGGUAGUCUUGUUUGUGAUCUUUUUAUGGUGGGUUAAAGGAUUAGAGGGAGAUAGAAAUGGCAUGGCCAGCCAAGCUCAAAUGGGAAUGAUCGACAUGAAAGCACAAGGCAUCCAAAGGAAUGGUACUUAUUCAUGGGGUAUGUGGGGUUUGAUACGCAUAUAUGGUGACAAAACAUAUAAAUUGGAAAGUGAAGUGCACAUGACUCCUACUACUAGUUGCCCCCACGAAACAUACAUAUAGGUGAGCCGUGAGCGAGAGGUCGAUCACGAAUCCAUUAACUUCUUCCUUUGUGUAAAUUCUAGCUUCUCGUGUUUUUUUUACAGUUAGAUCAUCAAUAAGUUGUGAAAACAGUUAUGCAUACAAGUAGAGGAUCCAGGAAAAACUACUUUGGCAUAAUAUUGGUUUCUUUUAGUUGAAUACAAGGAAUUACAUUACGCAUGCAUACAUUUCCACUACAAUGAGUUCCAAAACGAUGACAAUUGAUUGACCGAGAGACUGAGAGAGCCCUCCGAUCCCCCCGCUAAUAUUUAAGAAGGAAUGAUCGGACUCAUCGGAGUGCUAAUUACUUUCCUGAAACUCUGAAAGAGUUCCUCAAAAUGCCAUAGAUUGGCUUAAGCAUCAGGGAGUUGUAGCUAGGAAUAACUACUUGAUAUGUUUAGGGUAAAAUGACCUAUCCCUACUUUCAGCUGGCCAACUUCUAGAAAGAAAUAUAUAGCAGAUGUUUCUUCAACAGACGUAACUAUGUGCUCACAGUUAUGAGAGAGAGAAGGGAUAAUUUGGUGACGACUAGCUAGCUUACAGCAGGCAAUCAAUGAGUGAUGCAUGGUGGUCUGCGUACGUAUGAACAACCGUGAGUGCUUAUGGCACUACAAAGGAAUAAUCCAAAUGGACGAUGUGACAAAUAACAUGUAAUGCGAAAAAACCACAUGCACCGUGUUGGUCACUAGAAUUUGGAACUUUGGAAUAUAACUAUUUGUAUAUAUACUUGCAUAUCAAUUGCAGUAUGAGUUCAAUUUAGUCAUGGUAUGUGGUAUGUCUGAGUUCAAUACGUACGAUCAAACAUUCACAUCAGCAGGUUAAUUAGUGUGAGUUAUUCUGCUUAGGUCUCAUUCUUCAAAACUUGCUCAUCUUGAAACAGUUUAAUCAUUUAGUGUUAACCUUGAAGGCUUGAACUCUCAUUCAGUUGAACCCAAUUUGAGUUGAGGAUUGGUUACUUGUCCUUCCAACUCAAUCUCAGAUCGCCUAACAAACAAUGAAACAAAUCACCUCCUAGGAUCUUAUUAUUUUUACAUUAUCACUUCCUUGCUAUUACGUACAGAAUCCAAAACUCCCAAAUUAUUCCCAAUUAUGUAAAUCACAAGGAAUAUAUGUACGUGUGCCCUGCUUUGCUGAUUAGAUUCGUAUACGUAGUAAAAGCAAAUAAUAUGAAUGGCGUAGUUUCACGAUCAGAAACAUAAAGCUAAAGUUUGUAUAGAUUAAAGCAUUGGAUGCCAUUCAAAGAUCCAACAAUUCAGAACCAUCAUACUAUAAGCUUUAUAUGUCUUUUACCUUUUUCUAUGAAGACAGACACCAAACUACAAUGUUCUCAUGAAUGAAAUUAAGAGACAAGAAUAUAUACAUAGCCACAUGUCAGGCUGAUUAUUAAUGAGAAACCCUAAUGCGCGUGUAGAAAACCCAGAGAAUUUUCCUAUCAUAUGGGAUUCAAGAUUCUUAAGCGCACUUGGUUUAAGUUGUAUCCUGGUUUGACAUAGACCAAACUCUUUAGUCUGUGCUUUACGAUUGAUUUGAAUUGUGAAAGAAAUGGACUUAUAUUGCAUCAAGCAGCGGAAAAAUGAUCGAGCCAGCUUUAGUGCUACCAAUUUCAAAGUUGAUGGGUUCUCAGCAGGGCAAGACCUCACAUUAAAUGAAAGAUACUCCACACAAUUUAAUUUACGAAAACUAGAAAAGAGACAAUUAGUGAUGUUUUGUGGUUGGAACUUGGAAAGUUUGGGCAAAUUCUGCUUAAUUUAAACAGACAAAUUAAGAUUGAAAGCUAUGCAACUUCCAACUCUAAAAAGCUCAGUCACAUUAUUGCAUACACACACACACACUUAUUUAUGGUAGACCGUAUAGAAAACAAUGAUGAAGAUUUUGAUCUCCUAGUGAUUCAUUUUCACAGCCAAGUGCAAACAUAUUUGAUAUAGAAAAUCGUCAGGAACGUCGACAAAGAGCGAUAUCCAACAAGGUAGCGAUGAGUGAUGACCCCAGAGAAAAGAGAGUAUCGAGUAGCAUUAGAGAUUUGGGACUAUAUAUGGAUGUACUAAUAUUGGAGAGAGUAUUAUUUGUCUCGGAAGUUUCUAUUUCAAGACGACAGAAUUUGAUCGGUUGGAAGAGUUAUCUGACCAACGUUUAUGCGAGGGAGUUGAUGAUGGGCAUGGUAAUCAACAUCAGAAAGAGUAAUGGUGCCGGUGAGUGAGUCGACGACGAUGACGCUGCUGAAGAGGGUGAGACCUUGAGAUCGAGUUGUAAUAGUGUUUGCUACCAAGAGUUUCGGACUAAGAUGUGUUGCUCCCUUGCUCACAUGUUUUUGGCAGCAAGGGCAAAGGGAGUUGGCUGAGAGCGAGUCAUUAUGUCUUCUCUGCCGAUAUAACAUGCCUACAGAUUAUUGCUCUUUGCUAGUGUGGAGUGUUCUUAAUUUUCUUUUUGGACAAUAUAUUCCUAUAUAAUAUAAUCUUCAUGACAUCCCUGGUGCCUUAGCUUGUUUAUUUGUGAACUAUGUUCACUUAAUGAUAAGUAGUUUUCCUAAUUUGUGACCAAGUUUCACAAGAAUCUGAAUAAAAAUGAACGUUGCAAGCAUGUUACUAAUCGACUAGACGAGGGAUAUGGAUUUUAGUGGUUCAAAAUUUGGGUAACUUUUCUUUUGCUUCUGGUAAAGGUUUAGAUUUCAUUGAAAUAAAAAGAAUAAAAGAAAAAAAGAAGAGGAAACGGGAACCACAACCUGUAGGGAAUAGUAUACACCUAUACAAUGACCAAAGUCAAUAGCUCAAAGAAAUUCGAAAAACACCAAAUAAGCUUUACCACUCAAAGUUUGGAAAGAACUUGGUCUCAUUAAACCAUAUAAAUUUAGACCUCUGAAAGCUUCAGGUGCAAUUCCCAACUUCACAUACUCAAAAAUAGCAUUUGAAAAUGUGACGCUUUUGGUCGAACAAUAGUGAAUGCUUUUCAACUCCUAGUUCACAGCAAGUAGCUAAUUUCAAUUAAGAAAAGAAACCAAAUACAGCACUUGUCAAUUAUUACAGUGUUGCAUAUGAUUGAGGAAUUCACUAAAAAAGUAUACUAUCAAACAAUGUGGUACAAUGACAUGAUCCGCUAAAUUUGGAACUAGCAAUAUGACAAGUGUUACCGAUAAAGGAGAAUGAAAACUCAAGUCAAAAUUUGCCAAGAAAUGACUGGUUCAUGAGCAUGCAGUGUAAAGUACGAUGCUAAGUUGCUAACCACAGAGCUGCAUAAUGAGAAGAAGGCUAGUUCCACCUUGGAAUCUAACCACUGCGCAUCAACUGGGUUGUAGGUGAUGCGGAUUCUACUAGUAUACUCUCUCUAAUUGGUUUGUAUUUUCUAAUCCCUUGACCCAGAUAAUGCGUCUUCAACGCUCACCAAGGUCCUAACUCUGGAGAAGGGUAUCAAAGUUAAUAUCUUUUAAUCAAGGCACUAUUUGUUCUAACAGAACCCUGAUACUUCACCUAUCUUCUUCUUUGUUUUCUUCGACAUUCAAAGCAAUCUGAACAUGGAGAUCUGAUUUUACUUGUAUAAGAUGCUUGCAGCUUGCUAGGUGGUACUUUCAGGUCUUCAACUAGUAUAUGGCGAAGCUUCUCAUUCUCCUCUGUGAGCUCGUCAAUGAUUUGCUGGUGUUUCAAUACCUGAGACAACAUAAAUUCAAUUAAACAAUUCUAUUACAUUUUCCUAACAGGAGUUGAACAGUUUUAGUAGCUUGAAACAAAAUUGAAGAAAGCAAUUGUUUAGUUGAAUAUUUAGAAAAGAAAAAGGUUGAAUUCUUGAUACAAAGGUGAUGUAUGAGCUACAGAAAAUUGGACUCUACAACACAUGAUAACUUGUUCAAAAACUUGUCAAAUGCUCUAAAAACCACAUUGGAACAACAAUAAAUACUAUAACUAUCUGCUACUAUUACAUUGAAACCACAGAAAAGGGAUCAGAUAUUUGUCAGAAAAAAUGACUUCUUAGCAUAUCUUGAAGGCUGUGAGGAAACUCACAAGUUGGACAUAUCAAAUAGGUAUUUACCAAGCAAUAACAUCACCACCAUAGUUGUCUCUUAGUCUCUUAGAUCCAUCACUUGGGAAAAAUUAAUAAUAUUAUAAAAUAAUUAUAAUAAAAAGGAAUCAAUUGAAACCACAAGUCAAUAUUUACUACCAUUUGAAGGAUUUUAUUCUCCGACCUCAAGCGUCCAGCCUACAAAGGUAAAAUCAAUAAAAAUUAGUACAAAAGUAACAUGAAUGGCAGACACACCCAGGUACCUACUACGCCACUACAGAUUGCAGAGAGAGAAAGUGAAAGAGAGAUCAAACCAAAGGGUCUGCAAUAAAAUCACAAAAAUUUCAGACUUAGAGUUGGAACCUGUACAUACCACGUCACUUAGUUCACUAUCCUCUCCCUUCAAAACUGGACUCUGUAAAAAGCUGCUGAGAACCUUCUCUGUACGACUGCCAAAAGGUGUAUCAACUGGAGAGCUUGUUGAUGUAAAAUUAUCAUAAGUUGAACCUGUACCCUUAUUUCCAUAUCCAGGCAAGCCUUGAGUUGCAUAGUCUGCUGGUUUUGUUGCCAUCUGCAUUAUAUUUCCGACUGGAUUUUGGCUUGAUGAAUCAUUCAUAACGCCAAUGCCGCUUUGCAAUGAACUUGGAAUGGCACCUUGAAGGAUUGGUAAAUUGGGAGAAAUUCCAAAUUUUGUCAUCAUUUUUGCCAUUGUUUGCUGGAGAAUUUAGAGUCAGAAACAUAGUAGUAGGCUCCAACGGGAAUUAACACAUGAAAAAGCAAAGUAAUACUUACCAUAGAAAACAGUUGAAUUUGUUGCAAAAUCCCUGGUUUCAGAGCAAGGCCUGCAUUUGGAAGCAAUAGUAAAUGAAUAUUGUUACAAUGUAGGAACUACAAAGUAAAAUGUAUUAACUUAGUAUACAACGUCAUAAGAUAUGAGUGCAAUUGAUUUGGUGUGAUUUAGAACAAUGUACAAUAACUUGGAAUAAUUGAAAGCUGAAGAAUGAAAUUUGUUUCUUAUUGAGAUCUUAAACUCAACUGCAAACGCUAGUGAGAUUACUAAACACAAACGUUCGUCAGUCUAUGACAUUAGUGAUGUAGUGAUUACUCUUAUUCAAAAAAUUAAGUUAUAUCUACAUAAGCAAUUGAUAGAUGCGACUUAUUGAAUAGAAAGGUAGAUGGUAGGACCAUCAUACAUGUGUUAAACUUUAAUAGUCUGAUGACUCCUCUAUUAAGUUUUUGGAGUCAGUCAUUAUAGUGCUAAAAUACAGUUCAUUCUUUGGUAAUCCAACUUCACUAAAAAUACCAACUUGAAAUUCAAAAUAUUGAGGAAAUAUGAAAGAAUACUGAAAAUACUAUGGAGAUCAAGGAUACAUAAUAACAUAUAGGUAAAGUCUGAAUGUUUUUUUUUUUUAAUCAAAGGGUCAACUCUUUAUUGAAUAUAGAACUAAAUUAUACGUUACAAAUAUCAGCUGCUAUAGCAGAGUGAAUAAAAUUGGUGCAGAACUAAGUCUGAAUGUUUUUGUAACUGCUAGACACCAUACAAUCAAUUUUGCUAAAGCAUUUUACAUCCACGCUAUUCGGUGCUUAUGACCAAGGAGAGCAUCCAGUCCUUUCACACCCAAAACAAGGUAAACAACUUAAUAAAGAAUAAAUGAAUUUCUUCAAUAAGCCACGGAUAUUCAGUGAUAAUUUAGUUUAAAAUUCUUAGGUAUGUUGAUAGUAAUUUACAUUACGCGCAUCAACAUUUCCUCAUGAAAACAAAAAAAACAAAGCAUUUCAAAAUAUUCAACUAUCGUAUUACUAUGUAUGAAUCAAAUGGUUUGGAUAACAGAAGCAAAUAAGAAAUAUGUAAAUGAAAUAAUGUCAAUAUAGGAAAGAGAAUAUAUUAUAAUACUGAUUCUCCUAGAAGCAGAUAAGAUGACAUACCAACUCCAAAGCCAUGUCCAAAACCAACGCCACAACCAAUGCCGGCUUCAAUGUUCUUUGCUCCAACCUUCCUUAACUGGACAAUGAGAAAGCAGAAUAAGACAUUUGGGAAUCCUUCAACACUUGUAUAAUGAUUUUCUCUUCCUAUCUCAUAUCAAGACACAGAAUACUCCCGAGAAUCCAAGACUGAAAAGGAAAAAGUUAUUCGACUUACGGCGUCAGUUACAUGUCUGCUAACUCCCGAAAAAGCAUCAGUGGCACCUCUUGUGGCACCCAUGACUUGAUUUACCACUGGUACUGCACCUGGUAUAUAGCCAAAGUAAUGUGUGAGUUAACUAAUAUCUACUAGUCCGCUACAACCAUAGAAGAAAUCUCUUGUCAAUGAUAUCUUUACUUGAGGACACUUGUGACUUAAUUUUAUAGAUUAAUGAUAAUAUAUAUAUAUAUAUAUAUAUAUAGAAUUAUCUUUUUACUCCUGCUAUUCUCUGCGCUUGUAAUUUCGUGAAAGAAGGAUUGGAAAAGAUUUCUAUCUGAAGGUUUUGGCUGACAGAAAAUACACAUACAUAAAAUAUAAAAUUUGAAAAGACUAUUAGAUCAAUGGACUAAAUGAGCAAGGAUAAUAAAAGGCUCUAUAAACAAUAGAAAACUCAGAUUUACGAUCAUAAGUGACAAAGACCAAAUGUACUUUAAGUACUAAAAAUAAUGAGGAAAGGGAUAUGCAUACUUGAAUUUUUGGAUUAUUGAGAUGCCAAAAGGACAAAUACAUUUUCAGUGUACAUAGUAUAUUCCCUGCGUUGCUACAACUCUUUAAGUCUUUAACUUAUAGGUCAAUUAGAGCACGCAUAGGUACAGUGAUGCCCAUCAAGCCUAUAAUAUAAAUACCGAAUUCUAUGUGCUAAACGUGUCUUGUUUUAUAGAACUAAGCACAAAUGGACAUGAAAACAUUCAUUUUUUAAGCACAUGUUAAUGCUGAUUUCUUUCAUUUCUCCCUUCCUCUAAGUUGUUUUCCUCGACUCAAAGGUUAGCAAUGCAGCUUUCCCUUUUCAUUCAUACUUAGACAGGAGUUAAUAUCUUGGAUCAUGCAUGCUAACAAAGUAACAAUGUGGCUAUGUCAGGUGAAUGAUCCUACAUUAGUAGCUUUGGUGACUUGUGGAUAACCUACCAAAUAACCACUAAAACACAUGUGGAAUAUAUUGGUCUUGGAACUCAAAUCCAUUGCCUAUCAGAUAGUGUAAAACUAAGAACUCUCUACCUUCAAAACAACAAUUUAAACUGCUCUGAUGACUACAAAUUGAAUUGAUUUCCAUGUAUGACUACACAACACCAAUUCAAUGUUUCAGAAUAUGAGAUCUCAGAAAUGAGCAAGAGUGGUAAACUAUAGUUCUUGGAAAUAUAAAGGACACCAGGUCCACCAAUAUCGUUGUAUCAACAAAUCCUUCAUUAUCUAAAACGAUAUAAGCACAAGAGACUCAAAUCAGAACAUAGCUUCAAACUGCACACACCCCACGAUCACAUAUUGACUAGAACCACAAUGCGCAAACCUCAAAACAACCAAAUUCUCUACAUCAAAACCAACGCACACUGCAGCUACACUAGCAAAUAACCAAAUGCAAUAUCUAUAAACAAUCAACCAAUCUUCCUUCAUUCACUAAAGGUCUAAAGCCAACAUGAAACAGCUUAAUCACAUUUCCCUACACUAACUCAGCAACCAAAAACACGACCGAAAUUUGAAAACCAAACAAACAAACAGUCCAUUAGAACCUUGUGAGUGAUGGGUUUCACCAUUUUUGGGCUUGAAGAGCCUCCCAAAGUCCAUCUUCAAUAUUUUAAAACUCACAGAGAACAAAGCUACACAACACUGAGAGAGAUAGCAAGGACUAAAAGAAAAGGGUGAGUACCUAAAUUAAUGGGGCGGCCAACGCCGAUACCAACACCACAGCCUAUGCCAAACCCAGUAAAUACUUGACCCACUUUCAAAGUAAACGGAUUCCCUAUUCGAAUCGGCUUCUUCUCAUUGGCCACCACCACCACCUUACUGCUUCCCUCCAUAUUCCCCAAAAAAGCUUCUCUCUUUUCAAAAACCCAAGUCUCUCUCUUUCUUUAGUCUUUCACAAAGCUAAAGCUUCAACCUUUUCUUUCUUUCCUCUUCAAAUUUCCCACCUUUGCCCUCUCUGUGAAGCCUGAACUGUAAGUCUGAUACAAUUUUAGGCAGGAGGCAAACUGAACAGAGUUUCUACUCCUCUGCUUACAAAACCAUUAUAGUAAUCUUAGGCUUCAAGUGAUGAACCAAUAUAAACAUGACACAGCAACAAUGAGGAGGUCAAUUACCAGAUUACCUUCAUACCUAAGAAGUAAGGUACUAACCAAGUGUCAAAGAAAGAGGUUAGCUGGAGUUGUUUGGGCCUAUUGGGCAGGUUAAUUUUUGACGCGGCCCGGCCCAUUGUUUGGGUUCUGACACUGAUAACCCGCCUUAUACUGAUUCUUUGCUUCUGCUAGUGCUAGAUUUUGGGGCACGGUUUCUGGGUGAGCUUCUUCAUCUUUGUUUUGUUUCCUUGUUUUUCGUUUCUCUGUUUUCAUUUUGCUGCAUUUUUAGUAUGUGGGUUUUGUGAGUUUGGGGGCUUUUUGCGUGAACGUUUAGAGAGUUUUUGGUGUGGGAAUGUAGGUUUUGAAAGGUGUGAUCUUGAUGGGUUCUUUUCUGUGUGUUUUGGUUUCUGCAAAUUUGGGUGAGUUUCCUCACCUCUUCUUCUUUCUUUUCCUUUUUUGUUUCCUGCAUUUUUAUUGGGUACAAAAAGUUGGUUUUGCUGAGGUUGGGGUUUUUGAGGAUUCUGGAUUGGAGUUGUGGGUUUGGACUAUGGAGUAUGGAUCAUGUGUUGAAACGAGCUUUCCAAAGUAGAGUUUUCUGCAACUGUAGCCUUGUAUAGUUGUGUACUUGUGUUUAGAGAAAUGGGUAGGAAUAGAACAUUCACCAAGUGUUAUGAAUCCCAUUUGCUUAAUUGGGUUACAAGAUAGGGAUAGGUUUACUUACCCGUUACCCCUCAUGGGGUUCUUUUCAGUUUGGUUAUCUGUUGUGUUUUGGACUUUUAUGUUUAAUAGAUUAUUCAGGGUUUCUGCUUUUGGUUGUACUAUGGAACGUUUAUAUGUAUGUUCUGAGUGUUGUGUGAACUUUAAUUGGUGAUCCAAUCUUUCUAGCAAAGUGUCCCGCACAGUGCUCACUUUGAACACAAAAGGUUUCGACCUUAUCUUCACUUGUGGAAGUUGAGGAAAUCUGUCAAAUGGAGCCUAUUCUACAUAUUCGAUCUUUUGCUGCACUAUAUUCAUGAACACUUUCGUCACAGCUCUUGAUUUUUAACUAGUCCCCUGCUAGUGAAUUUUGUGCGACCAUUGGUACCCCAAUGUUGUUUUAGGUUGAACUUUUUCCUCAGCUUCUGUUUGUUUCUUCAGUUUUGAAAUUUUCCAGCUUGUCUUCAGGUUCCUAUAUAGUGUGUAGGAAAUCUGCUAUGCUUGUUGAGUUUCUGGUAACUAGAUUGUUUGUGGAUUUUGUUGCUUACUUGCUUUGGUUGCAUAUUAACUAUAUAAAAUCUGUAGAUGUGCUCAAGUAUUUAUGUGUACUUUCAAUUAGUAUUUCAGUUUCUUUUUACAUAAUCAUAUGUGGUUUAGCACAUUCAUUUUACUUUACAAAAUUUGGAGUAUGGUAAUUGUUGAAGCUAACAAUAGUCUCUUCGUGGAUCAGGUGUCAACAUCGCUUACCAUUUAUGACAAGCUUCCAUCAGGAAAAAUCAUUGCUUCUGUCAAACUCUGUGAUUACAAAUCUGGCAAGGUAUUCAACUUAUGUUAGCCUUUGAAGUAUACAUGAAUUUGCAGUUCAGCUGCAACUUAUAUCCACAUUUCUUUUAUCUAUUGCUGCAGUACCUUUAUGAACAAGUAAAAAGCAGUUGAUCUGAACUAAUCCUCUGCUAUUUGUUUUUGCAUAGUAAUUGGCGGUCCUAGCAUUAUUUCAGGAGGGGAAACUAGAUACUUGACAACUUCAGUUACAUUUGUAAACGAUAUUGCUGGUCUAAGCUUGACAGAGCCAAAUUCCUUUGAUUUAGUAGUUCUGUAAGUUGGCCACUAACAGAAAAGUACCUGUAGUUUUUGGAUGAUUAAACAGACAAACAUACUGUUGUUAUUUAGGUUUGUCGCAGUGUCUUUUGGUUGCUAGUCAAUAAGAAUACUUGUCUUUGAUGGUUAUUGUGAUUUUAGGUUCUUGAGCAUUACAUAGGGUUAUGUGUUAUCGUUGCAGGAUUUGGAAUCAUCAAUUGUAUCACUAAGUGGUAUCCAUUUUCAAGUAGGAUUUGGAACGUUGCCUAUGGAAAAUUCUGAGCUACCAGCGUAUAAGCGGUGUAGAGUCUCUGCUGUUCGUGACUUUCCUAUUGGGUGUGGACCAUUUGCUCACUUGAGUAAUUUGAAUGCCAAUGGUACAGAGAAGAUUUCAGAUAAAAAAUAUCCUCCUCGAUCAGUAGAAGCUGUUCGGGAUUUUCCACCUUUAUGUGGGAUCAAUGCUUCUCCGGAGGCCAGGAAAUUCAGCAAAGAGAAGUCAGUUAGGGGUUAUAAGCCCUUGUCAUCAAAGACAGCGAAGAAUAAUGAGAAACAAACAGGACUUGGGAACAAAGUUCAACCCAACAUUGAGAAGAAAAUUGGAGGACACUCUCUAAAGAAGAAUAAUCAUGUACCAGUAAAGGCUGCUUGUCAAGGUACAAGUCAGCCUGAUAUAAGGAAGAAGGAGUAUUCUCAGCAUGAUGAAAAAGAACAUAAUCUUGUGAUUCCAAAAUCACGGAGUACAGAUGGGUGCCCUCCUCCUUUUGGUUAUAGUAGUUUGAGCCGCAGAAGUCAUGAUAAUGACACGAGUGAAAGGAACAAGGUAAAGGAGAUAUUGCAUUUGUUCCGAGAUGAAUGUCAGAAGCUCUUGCUGGAGGAAGAAAAUAAAAGGUCAAGGGGUGUGGGAACUUCUCACCGAAGGGUUGAUUUGGAAGCCUUCAAGAUCCUCAAGGAUAGGGGAAUCUCUAUAAAAUCAGGCAAACAUGUCAUAGGAGAUAUUCCAGGAGUUGAAAUUGGUGAUAAGUUUCAUUACCGAGUGGAACUUAUCCUUAUUGGCCUCCAUCACCAGAUACAAAGUGGUAUAGCUUAUGGACAUUUCGGUGGAAAGGUCCUUGCAACCAGUAUCGUUGCAUCUGGUGGCUAUGCAGAUGAUUUGCAUAGUAAAGAUUCAUUGAUCUAUACUGGCCAUGGAGGAAAUGCAAAUCCAAAGGACCCUCAAGAUCAGAAGCUUGAACGGGGAAAUCUUGCUUUAAAGAAUAGUGUGCAAAAGAACCCUGUUAGAGUGAUCCGUGGCUCCGAACUAGUGGAUGGAAGCAGGACAUAUUUCUAUGAUGGAUUAUAUAUGGUAGAGAAAUGUUGGCAGGGUAGAGGUGCUCAUGGUAAGCUUGUUUUCAAGUUUCAGAUGAACAGAAUUGGAAGCAUUGGAAAUUGACGUGUGAGGUUAGUACUACUUAUUCAUCUAUAAGAUAUUUGGAUAUUAUAAGUUAGAACUCGGUUAGUUACAUAUAUCGUGCAUUGUACUGCAUUUGGUUGAGUGGAUGCAUGCAAAUAUGAAAUACUAUCAUAACUGAUGAACUGAAAAUGCAUUGAAUAUGAUUAGACCAUGAAUCCAUUCUUUAUCAUGGUUUCUGAUUUAUGUAGUGUUGAUUCCGUUGGAGUUAAUUUGGUUGUUUUUCGUCCCCACAGAUGCAUGCUUGAACUUGGGUAUACAAGGAAGAAUUGCCAGCCAGUAUUUGACCCAUCUAAAAGAGCUAAGCGGAUGUUUUGUAAAAAGGAUUUUCCAGCGGUUAGUAAGGUGUUUCUGUGACAGGUAGAGUAGAUAAACCGACUUUUGUGAAGAACUUUAGCAUUGAAAAAAAAAAAAAAACUUCUGUGAAGAACUUGACAGUGAGGCACAGAUCGAUGUACUGUCUAGAUAGUGUGAAGCUUGUUAUCGAUGUAAUUAGGUCUAAACUUAAUGUAGGCAGUAUUACGUGACAGUUAUGUGAAUGCUGUGUUGAGUUUGAUAUUGAUCAUGUUUUGCUUGCUAGUUGCAGGAGUUGGCAAUUGCUCUAGUGUGUAAAGUGCAGUUUCAAAUUUCUUGAACUGCGAUUUCCCGCCCAUUAUUAUUGUCACACCUAUAGUAUAAUACACCUUGUUCAUAACCCAAAAGCCCCUAUCAGUUUUAUGAAGAUGCAUAGCUCUGAAUAAAUCGCAAGAAAAGCAUCAAUAAUUUUUCAUAGAUGAACUUUCUCAGAUAAAUAUGUAAGAUCAAUACCUUGCCAGCAAAUAAUUUUCAGGUAGAAAGCAAGAAAUGGACUUAACAUAUAAAUCGUUGCGAAUUAAAAUGCGUGGCAUUCUAAUAUAAUCAUGUCCACUGCAAGGUGUUGGGUGUUGGGGUGGACUAGAGGCUAAACUCGAUCUGUACAAGGAAAAAUUCGAAGUGUCAUAUGUUCUCCCUGGACUUUUUGUUUAGCAAACUAGCACCAACAAAAAAAACUAUACAAUUGUCAUAAAAUAAAGAUGCUGUAAUUUAGAGUGGAAGAUAACUUUAUGUUAAGUCUUUAGUUUCAACAAUCAAAUUUUGCGAGUGAUCCCCAACUAAGUGUGAUAUCUCAUUGAAAUUUUACUGAUUUUGGUUAACGUGUUGAAUGCCAAGCCUACUUACUACAAACCUUCAUUUCAUCGUAAUAUUUACCAUGUAUAUAUCUUGUGUUUAUGUAGUACAAAUAAGAGCAAUAUUAUCAAUUCUAUAUUCGUGAAGUUUUUACACAAGUCCUAAAUAAGAUCAAUUCUUAUUUUAUGGUUAUCUAAGUGACAUCGCUCGUGUAAAGGGAGGUGAAUAUGUGGUUGUCACAGAGGUGCGUGGAGGAGAGAUUGGUUGUGAAAAUAUAGCCGCAAAUGGCAAAUUAUAAUUCUUACGAAUUCAUUCAAAGUAGAUAAAUUUAUGAAACAAUUAAAGAUGUGAAUUGUAGAUAAAAUUUUAAAGUCAAUAGCGUGAGGAAUAAAAUGAAGUUGUACAUAUGUGCUUACCACCACAUGUAUAAAGUUAGGCCUUUUUUUUCUUUUUUGGUUACAAGUUAGACCUUUUUUUUUAUGAUACAAAAUUCGAUGAGUUGUUGGUCGUAUUUAUGAAACAAUUAACGUGUGAAUCAUAGUAGAUAAAAUGUUUAAGAUAAAACAAAAAGAUAAAAGGAAGUUAUUUUUCAGUGCUUACGGCCACAUGUAUUAAGUUAGACCCGCAGUCCAUCACCGAAUGCAAAGCUGCCACAUCAAUCCAGUCAACUGUUUUUAAAUUCUAUGACCAAAACGACCUGGUGUAACCGUUCAGACAAUUCCUGUUUUAGAAACAAACUGACUCGUUGGCAGUCAAUGGACUCUAUACACGAAGUCACGAACUACAAUUAAUUAGCUCAUCAUAUGAAUCCGACUGCCACCACCCUCUUGGGAUUUCUGCGUUUCUUCUCUCAAGUUUGCGUGAGUUUCUCCCUUACCUCUUCGUCUCCCGUAUCAAUUCUUCUGCAUUUUCAACAUAUGGCUGGGAUUUUGGGUGAGAAUAGAUCAUUGUAACUAAUGAUAGUUUUAUUGAGGGCUUCUUGUUCGUUUUCAAUUUUCAUUCUCAAUCUUCUUGCAUGCUGCUUGAUCACACUUCAGUCACUGCAAAGGUUAGCUUGUAGCUGGUUUAGUAUAAUUCUGUUAGUUAGUGUAUAUCUAUGUAAAUUGAGAAAAUGAGUGACUUAGUUGGGUUUUCUGGGCUCAUGGGCAUGGAAGUAAACAGUAUUAGAUGAUAUGAAUGUCACCGGUCAAAAGCUUUCAGGUGAGAAUGGUUCUGUUUUUUUUUUUUUUAAAGGAGUGAGAAUGGUUCUGUUGAAACCAUAAGAACCAUAAGAACUCACCCAGAUAGAUGUACUGGUUCUUUUAGAUUACAGUUUCAAUUCGUAUUUCACAUUAAUAUUUCUAGCGCAAAUUCCCAGCAUGCUCAAUUUGAGAUCAAGAUGGGAAUAAAGUGUGACCAGCUGGCUGCCAUUUGCUCUUAUUUUUACCUAUGUGUGUAUUUCUUCACAGUAGUUAAAUAGUAAACUUACUUCUGUUGGGAUAUAGCUGCACAAGUGAGGGGUCGAGAGGGGGAGUAUCAGAUUGAGUUACUACCAUAACUUUUUGUGUCUGACAAUUGUUUGCUUUGUUGAAUAGGUAUCAGCAACCUUCACAAUUGAAGUCAUCGGCAACUUCCAGAUCACAAAGUAUAUCUCUGGUGUCAGUUACAAAGCCAGAUUCCUUUGCUUCAGUAGUAAUUCCGUAAGUUCCACAUUCAGAAAAAAAAUUAGCAUAAUUACUGCGUGAUAAACCGUACUAAAGUCCGAGGACAGUUAAGUUAGUUGCUAGUACUCGAUUGUAGCGCGUACAUAUCCGUGUCUAUAUAUAUAUAUANNNNNNNNNNNNNNNNNNNNNNNNNNNNNNNNNNNNNNNNNNNNNNNNNNNNNNNNNNNNNNNNNNNNNNNNNNNNNNNNNNNNNNNNNNNNNNNNNNNNNNNNNNNNNNNNNNNNNNNNNNNNNNNNNNNNNNNNNNNNNNNNNNNNNNNNNNNNNNNNNNNNNNNNNNNNNNNNNNNNNNNNNNNNNNNNNNNNNNNNNNNNNNNNNNNNNNNNNNNNNNNNNNNNNNNNNNNNNNNNNNNNNNNNNNNNNNNNNNNNNNNNNNNNNNNNNNNNNNNNNNNNNNNNNNNNNNNNNNNNNNNNNNNNNNNNNNNNNNNNNNNNNNNNNNNNNNNNNNNNNNNNNNNNNNNNNNNNNNNNNNNNNNNNNNNNNNNNNNNNNNNNNNNNNNNNNNNNNNNNNNNNNNNNNNNNNNNNNNNNNNNNNNNNNNNNNNNNNNNNNNNNNNNNNNNNNNNNNNNNNNNNNNNNNNNNNNNNNNNNNNNNNNNNNNNNNNNNNNNNNNNNNNNNNNNNNNNNNNNNNNNNNNNNNNNNNNNNNNNNNNNNNNNNNNNNNNNNNNNNNNNNNNNNUUUAAGAAUUUGAGGAUUUCUACUAUUUUACAUUAGUAGAUGACUUCUUUUAAUAAUCUCAACCGUUGAUCCUCUAGAUUCAUAUGCAAGAAAUAUGUCUACAAAAUUUCAACUUGACACGACCCGCCUCAAAUUUCACCCUGAAACCCGGAGUAAGUCGUGCGGGGACCACCUCCAAGGAAAAUUUUACCGAAAAGAUUGGUAAAACCUCCCUUGAAAAUGGACAACCCUAACUCGAAAAUUCAAAUUUACACUCUUACUACAACACGUCCAAACUUCACAUAAAUAUCCAGCUAAUAAAAGCAAACAUUAUCCUUCAGAGAUUCUAAACAUCAAAUCAACAGGCCGAGCACACCACCGAAAUAAUAUACAACAAUCCCAAAGUAUCCAGAGCUACUAGACUAUAGCGGAAGCAAGAAAACACGAGUAGGUUGAACAAGUAACCUACUGAUGAAAACUAGCAAAAAUGCGGGUGACUAUGCCUCGCCUCCUACUAGAUCCAACCCGAACUCUGCAAACUGGGCAUUUUUUUAAAACGAAGGGCCCAGGGGAAAACAUUUAAUAACGUCAGAGUGAGUGGACAAAAAUAAAUUAAAAAAAUAAAAUAUUUAUGUUUCCCCGACUCAAUUCCCAAGGAAAAAUCGAAUGCAUGCCGCAAGCGAUAAAACUUUAAUCUCAUAAAAUAUCGAGCCUCUCAGACUCUAUAAUAUAUGUAUGUAUUCACACACGUCUAUACUCCCUAUAUAAAUUCAUAGGUCUAUAUAGGGCUACUACGCUCGCGUCACGCCUUAAUGCGGUGCUACACUACGUCAUUAAGAUGGACAGACAGGUGUAUAAAUAUGUGUCCAUACCCCCUAUAUGAAUUAAACACUCAAAUAGGGCUACUACGCUCACGUCCAACGCUCACGUCACACCAUAAUGCGGCUAUAUGCUACGCCAUUAAGGUGGACAAACACAUAUGGCUAGCUAGCAUUUUAUAUACAUACUCUCUCAUAAAUACAUAUUUAUAUCCACCGAAAAUUCCAUUUUCGGUAACUCUCCAAGAGAAAUAAAAUUCGUCAAAUUAAAAUGACGUCAAAAUAUUCCGCAACAAUUAUUGUUCAACCAUGAACUCUAGCAUGCAUUUUAUUUAAAACAAAAAUCCACUCACAAAUUUGGCCUAAGCCUGAUGUUGAUCUGGGGCCUCGUCUGCUCGAGCCUCCUCACGUCCUGAUCCAAAAAUAAUAUUAAUUUCCCAACUAACAAUCCAAUGUUUAAUCAAAAUAGGCAAAAUUACCCGUGAGCCAUAAAUACGCUCAUCAUUGCCUAACUUCGAUAAUCUUAAAUCGAAACGAUCCGAACUUAAAUAUCAUACUCGGCAGCCGUAAAUACAACCUCCCCAAAAAAUACGACUUAAAUCCUACGGCCGGAUUCUACAUUAAUUAACCGCCAAAAAUACCACACUUCGGAAAUUCAUAAACAUAUCCAAAACUCAUCCAAAAAUUCCAUAACUCACUUCAAUAAACUCCCCCUAAUAUUCCAAAUUUAACAACAUUAAAAAUCUCCCAACCGGCGGUGGCCGGAGGCCAAUUCCGGCAACCUCCAAAACCUAUGAAAUUUUGACAGCAUCUUCCUCUCAUCAUGCUCUACAACUUUCCUAACUAGCACAAACCCAAAAUCCAAGCCUAGCUAUGCCAAUCGAACAGAAACAUCAAAAACGCUCUAGAAUUUCAACUUCACAUUUCUCCUUACCUAGCUUAAGAGAGGGUGAGCUGUUUGGAGGGGUUGCUACACGGGAGGAGGGCUACAAAACGAGCCAAGGAUCGCCAGUUUUGGUGGCCGGAGGAGGGAGCUCCGGCGAGAGAACCACCACGGCAGUUAGCGGCUCCGGGUGUCGUUGCUCUCUCACGACGGCGCUAGGGGAACUGCUACCAGCCUAGAAUGAAAGCUGGGUUGGAGGCUGACCGAACGGGACUGGUGCGGUAGUCUCAGGCGGCCGGACGGCGGCGGAUGAGCGGCCGGAAGGUUUGGCUGCGGGAGGGACUCGAGGAGAGAGAGAACCGGGAAGAAAAGAGAGAAGAGAGAAAAUGGGUUUGGGCCUCACACCCCAAACUGGUCCAACCCAAUUCCAAAAAUAAAACACCCCGAAAAAAUAAUACCCGAAUAAAAAUUACAUUUUACUAUCUAAAAUUUACCAUUUUUACCGUCGUCAUAACUUUCUCCUACGAAUAACUCUCCGAAAUAAUCGUCCCCCGAAACCCCUCUAGGGACCAAUUAAACUAUUAUCUCAAUGACGGAGAUGGGAAAAUUCUUAUUAUAAACAAGCUAGUAAAUAAGGUAAAAAUAUAAGAGUCGGGAUGUGACACAACUAAUUCCAUAAUCAUUUGGUCAUUCAAAAUGAUGUAAACAAUUGUAGGCCGUUAAAUAAAAUUAAAAUGAACAUUGUGUUAAUCAAAUGGUUAAACGUUUUUCAUUUUGGCUAAUUUUUUGUAUGAUUCAUAUGUGGGUAAGUAACUAGGGAAUGGGUGGCUUUGAUUGUCAAAAUAUAUGCUAGAACUAAAAACAUCCUUACUUUAAGAGUUUAAUAAGGUCCUUUGUAGAUCUGGACUAUAUAUAUAUAUAUAUAUAUAUAUAUAUAUUAUAUAUANNNNNNNNNNNNNNNNNNNNNNNNNNNNNNNNNNNNNNNNNNNNNNNNNNNNNNNNNNNNNNNNNNNNNNNNNNNNNNNNNNNNNNNNNNNNNNNNNNNNNNNNNNNNNNNNNNNNNNNNNNNNNNNNNNNNNNNNNNNNNNNNNNNNNNNNNNNNNNNNNNNNNNNNNNNNNNNNNNNNNNNNNNNNNNNNNNNNNNNNNNNNNNNNNNNNNNNNNNNNNNNNNNNNNNNNNNNNNNNNNNNNNNNNNNNNNNNNNNNNNNNNNNNNNNNNNNNNNNNNNNNNNNNNNNNNNNNNNNNNNNNNNNNNNNNNNNNNNNNNNNNNNNNNNNNNNNNNNNNNNNNNNNACUAUAUAUAUAUAUAUAGUCUGUUUCUGGUGCGGACGUCCGUACAGGUUUUUCGUACGGAUUUCCAUCGUUUCUCCACCUUUCCAGCGCCGGCGACGCCGUUUCUUCUCCCCGGUGUGAUCUCAGACCUCCUCCGACGUUGUUGGAAUGAAGAAGAAGGCCGGAGAGAUCGCGAUCGGAGGUCUACCAUGAUCGGUUGUGAAGUUCUGAGUGAGAUUGCUGCACAGACCUCCGAUCGCGAUCUCUCCGGCCUUCUUCUUCAUUCCAACACCGUCGGGGGAGGUCUGGGAUCACGCCGGGGAGAAGAAACGGUGUCGCCGGCGCUAGAAUGGUGGAGAAAUGGCAGAAAACCCGUACGGAUGUCGGCACCAGAAACAGACUGUAUAUAUAUAUAUAUAUAUCUAUAUAUGUAUAUAUAUAUCGUUUUUAUUCGAAAUUCGGCGAAAGGUUUGUUAGGACUAUGUGUUCGAAUUAGCGUUACAUUUGUGAAUUGUCAUUUUCUUGACCUUUCCGAUCGAAAUUUAAAGUUGUUUAGAAAACUUUGUAUCAUUAUGGAUUUUGUUCUCUUUCUCUAUCGAUCUUUUUUUCUUUUCCCAUUAUGAUGAGUUUCUCACUUCGUCAAAUUGUCGCGGCUGCUUAUUGAUAGGGUGAAGCUAACUGUCCUCGCAUCUAUCUUCUGGCAACAAUAUAAUUUAAAGUUUAUGAAAUACUAAUUAGGUUGUGUAAUUGUGUUACAUAUCUAGUGAUUUUUUUACCGUUGUGUCAAAGCAAAUGGAGUUGCCAGUAAAACAAUAUAUUUUUUCGCUAAUUGAUGCUUAUAGAAUAUAUACUUGUCCGAUGUGAGUAGUCUUAUUAUUAUCUCGGGACAUACUCCAAAUGCUUCUUAUAAUCACGGGUUUAGACUCAUGUCACCCUUAUAUUCAAUAGUAUCAUUAAUCAAGGCUCGAGAGAAUCCGUACUAGCCCUUCAUUCAAAAAAUAAUAAUUCUAUACUUUUUAUUUUUUGCUUUAUGAAGAUAGAUUCAUGUAUAGUGAAAGAGAGAAUUAUACACAUUUAUGAAGAGAAAUAUUUUUAUUUACUUUCCAAAUUUGUGAUUUUGAGUUAGUUGCUAGUUUGAUGAAACAUAUUCAUAUAUGUUUUUAAUUAUUUGGUGAAAAGUUUGUUUGGACUAUGUUUCUAUAUUAACGUUACUUUUUUUUAUUGUUCGUUUUGACCUACAAUGUAAUUUUCACCAAAUAUGAAUUAGAAAAACCCGAAAAUGGUAUCUAAAGAGAGAAUUUAAUAUUCUUAACGUUGUGUUUGGAUGAAGUAGUUUCAAUUUCCAUAGAAAUUGGAAAAUCAUGGAAAUUACAAUUUCAUGAAUUUAAAUUCCAUUAAUCGGGAAUUUCAUUGUUUGGAUUUCAUGAUAUAGAAUUUUAAAUGAUAAGAAUUUGUAUUUAGACUAACCUCAAUCGAGAGAAUUGACAAAUGACACCUAUUUUGUAAGGAAUUCAAGUUGGGAAUUUAAGUUUUCAAAUUCCACAAUUAUUUUCCUGUGGAAAUUGCUAAUUCCAUUGGAUAAGAAUCUAAACGGGGGAAAUAAUUCUAAGAAAUUAGGAAUUCUUAAUUAUGGAUUAAAUUCCCGAGAAUUCACCCACAUCCAAACACAACAUAAAGAUUUUGUGUUCCCUUUCUUGUUUUUCUUUUCAUAUUAUGUUACAAUUUUUUGAUUUUCGAUUUUCAUUAGGAUUAAGAUUUCCUACAUGUAUCAUGAUGAAAUCGACAAGGAAUAGUUUCUUUUCUUUCCUAAUUUAAAUUUUUUGUGAUCUAUAUAUAUACAAGUCGUUAAAUAUUUGAAGCUCAACAAGAAGGUCAGGAAGAGACUUGUUUUGUUUUUUAGACGUGCCCGUGAUUUGUUAGUUGUUUUUCCGCAGGCAUUGACAACUUCAUAGAUUGCAAAGUGUUAGUCAUAUCAACAAGCUAAACUUCUCCGCUUCGGCAUUCUGUAAGUUCCAUAUUUACUAUUGCUCUCUCUUUAGGCUUUACUUUAAUUUGUUUUGUUAAACCAUUGUGAAUACAUAUAGCUUAUAACUUAGUGAUUACCUAUUCUGUCUUCACAGGUUCUUGAGCAAUAAUUCAUUACCUAAUUGGGUUGUGAGUUGGAAUGGGGUCAGAGGGAUCAUUGCAGCGUACAGGGUCCUCGAGGAAACAUGAUGAGGAAACAUUGGGCUCUUCCCAUUCCAAGUUACUUGACCAUAAAAGGCCAAGAGUCUCUGCCAUUCGUGAUUUUGCGCCAGGGUGUGGACGAUCUACUCACUUCACAACUUCAGUUGGUAGUUCUGAUGAUAUGGCUAGGGAACAUCAUGUCCCUGCCGUUCGUGAUUUUCCCCAAGGAUGCGGACCAUCUGCUCGCUUGACAACUUCAGUUGGUACUUCUGAUGUGGCUAGGAAACAUCAUGUAGGAGCCGUUCGAGAUUUCCCUCCUCAAUGUGGAACAAGUGCGUCUCAGGAGGCCAGAAACUUUGAUCGAGAGGCGCAGUCAGUUAAGGGUGACAAACCAUCAACAUCAUCAAACACUGACAAGACUAAUGUGUAUCGUUCAUGGUGGACAGGAAAAGUUGCCCACAGAUCUAAACCAAAUGGAGAUAUUGGCCCAAUAAAAAAGCAACCUGAAGCAAAUCGUCAGCCAGAAAGAUCUCGGAAUGACUCGGACAAUACUAGAGGAAAGACUACUCAAUUUAGUGCUGCUAGCCUUCGUAACAACAACACAUCUCUCAUCCGAACGAAAGUGACAGAGACACUGAGUCGGUUCAGAGAUCUUUGUAUCGAGAUUGAGCGUAAGAAGUUGAGGGAAGGAGCAGCAAAUCCGAGAAGGAUAGAUUUUGAAGCUGCAAAGAUCCUCAAGAAAGAAAGAGGAUACGUUAAUACAGGCUCACAAAUAAUGGGAGAUGUACCAGGUGUGGAAGUUGGUGACAUUUUUCGUUACAGAAUUGAGCUCACCAUUGUUGGGUUACAUCGCCAGAUUGAAGGUGGGAUCGACUAUACACAUUUUGGUAACGAGUCGCUUGCAACUAGCAUUGUGGCGUCUGGGGGGUAUGCAGAUGAUACGCAUGACUUGAACUCCCUAACUUACACCGGCCAUGGAGGAAGCGUGAUGCACCAUAACCUCCCAGAGCAUCAAGAGCUUAAACGCGGGAACCUGGCUUUGAAGAAUAGUAUCGACGCGGAGAAUCCUGUUAGAGUGAUACACGGGUCUGAGACUUCCGGUGGAAGAAAGCAGUAUGUUUAUGUUGGACUAUAUUUGGUGGAGAGGUGGUGGAAGGAAACGGGGGAUCAUGGAAAGAUUGUUUACAAGUUUCAACUGAACAGAAUUCAGGGCCAGAGAUCGAUCCCUUGGUUGAUAUAACAUAUGAAUUAUUGGUGGUGCAACAACAUCUAGCUAGCUGACAGUUGAAUAAUUUUUGCUGUUCAUCGACACAAUUUGUCAUCUCUUCAUUACUCGUUGAUGGUUGUUGUACCAGUACUGUUCUUUCUUAGUUUGAUUCUGCAGCUGAUUUGCAGCCUUUGUUUCUCACAGAAAUUUUCUAAUUUCUGUGAUGCUAUUGUUUCAAUCAAGACUUCAAGGCCUCGUUUGGUUCAUGAAAAAGAAAGUAGUUGCUACAUUUUUCCUAUGAGAAGGGAAAGAGAAUGGGACUGAAGUUUUCGAAUAACUUUCUAUGUCAUUGGGAAAGCUGAUAACUAAUAUAAUAAAUAUUCUGCUGUGAGUAAUAAAUAUUAAGAAAGAAGAAAGGAAAGUGGUUUAUUUAGAUUUUAGAAUAGUAAACUACAUAUUAGUUACUAACCAAAUAUCAAUUAACAAAAAGGUACAUUAAGCAUAUUAGUAAACAAACAAGGACAAACUUUUACAAAUAAGGACAAAUUGUAAAUGCAUUGCCGUUAUGCAACACGUUAUGCUGUUGCCAUGUGGCAAUGCGCAUUUACAAUUGUGCCCUUCAAACUAAAUGUGCUGCUACUGUCGGCAGUUUACAAACUUCUGCUACUGCGAACUAAAGAAGUUGCUACUGUCGACUGUUUACAACGUUAUGCUACUGCCCCCUGUUUUUACUUUUCUGCUACUGCCCCCUGUACUGUCGGCAGUUUACAAACGUUCUGCUACUGCCUACCGAAUAAGCUGCUACUAUCGACUGUUUACAUACAUUAUGCUACUGCCUUUUGUUUUUACUUUCUGCUAUUGCCAACUAUUUUCAUUUUUCUCUGCUACUACUAUAUUGCCUAUACAUAUAUCAACCAUGGAAUUACUAUAUAUAUAUAUAUUCACUAUUACUGCUGCUAGCCUGCUACUGUAUAUGUCAAUCAUGGAAUCACCUAUAGAGUUGUUGCUACUGCUUUAUAUAUCCACCAUUAAAUCAUUUAUGGAAUAACUGUUACUAGCCUACUACUGCAUAUAUUAACCAUAAACCUCAUUCUUGUUCUAUUCACUCAUGGAAUCUCCUGCCAAUCAACCAAAACCCCCAAAAUUGAAAAUUUUCACGAGCAUUAACAUGCCCAGUCGCAUUCUAAAUCCUUCAAGGUCGCAGGUGACGACAGCGAAGAUCUCGACGUCUCCUGAUCUCUAACCCAAACAAAGAUGAAGCUGACCAUCAUCAAUUCCCACCAAACAUGAACAAAAUGAAAUUGAAUCAGAUAAAAAAAAAAAACAAAGUAAUUGAAGAAGACCCCCAACCAUGUCUCGUCGUUGGUGAGGCAUUAGUGUUGGAAUCAGAUCUGAUGCACAGAAAAAGUAGUUGAAGAAGAUGCCAAACUUGUUUCGUGGAGGCGUUGCCGUCCUCGUCGCGUCAGCAGCUUCGUUGUCUAGGAGGCAACGCUUCUUGAGAGAGAGAGAGAGAGAGAGAGAGAGAGAGAGAGAGAGAGAGAGAGAGAGAGAGAUAAGAAAAGAAGUAGGAGGAAGGGAAGGAAGAAGAGAGAGAGAGAGACGANAGAUAGAAAAGUAAGAGAGAGAGAGAGAGGAAAAUUAAAGAUGAGAGGGUAUUAUGAUCAUUUGAUAGGUAAAAUUCGGAUAAGGGCUAAUGCCAUUAGUUUUGGGCUUGGGUUGAUGUCUUAAAUUGUAUAAAAAUUACUAGAAGUGGGUUUUUGUGUUUUAAAUUUGGUCAUAUGCUACUAUGUAAUUUACUCAUUUUAGAAUGAACUAUUUUUCCCCAUAAUUUCCCUUCAGCUAGGAAAGUGGUUCCUUUUCUUUUGUUUGCCCAAACACAGAAAAUGAACAACUUUUAUUUCCUGAUGCCUACUUUCCUUUCCAGAUUUGAUGUUAGACUAUGUGAGUAUGUGUAUUGGUUUUUUUUGUUUUUUUUUUUUUUCACUCACAUACCCUUACAUAUGUCAGUGAGAUUUGAAUCUAUAAUUUUAACGUUGUUGGUUAAACUACCUAACCAACCAGACCAUGGCUCACAGACAACUAUGCAUAUUGGUAGGGCUGGGCACGGGCCGAGACCGUCCUACUUUUCAUAGGGACCGGGCUCAAACCGGUAACAGUACAACCAAGCCGGUCUUUACAUCAAAAAAUUUGGGGCCCGGGGAAAGCCCGGCCCGGUAAAAGCCCGAACCGGUUUGGUCGGGUUUCAGGCCUGUUUUGCUUUCAUCGAGAGGAAGAGAAGAGAGGUACCUGAGCGUGAGAGCGUCUAAUUCUCAAGAGGUAAACCCACAAUCAAAAUGAAUCGAUUGGAAUUUGAAAACCACAAUCACAAAAUCAACAAAGUUCAUCAAAGCACCAAUCUUUCAAAUCCAAUUAAAAAGCCAAUUUACCAUAAUCACAAAGCAAGCAAAUUUCAGGGCUUAGUUUGAAGGUACCUAAGACUUUUGUCGUUGAAGGUGACGGCGACAAAGCCCUCUUCUGCCACGCGGAGCUGCCACCGGAAUCGUCGCGUCUUCCGCCUUUUCUGCUGCCACGGCGACUUCCGUAAUUUGUGAGCGAACUCAGAACUCGGCUCGUUGCACGGGAGAUGUGCGCUGGCGUCGCCGAGACUCACGAGGCCCGCAGGCGGCAGGCGUCGUCGAGAGGCACGGAGGCGCGGAGGGCGAAGGGUGAAGGGCGGAGGCAUCUAGAAGAGCAGCGUCUCUGUUUCGUCUCUCAGGUCUCAGCGUCUCUGUUUGGUUUAAACUAUGAAGUUUAGGACUUUUAGGUUUGACUUUACACUAAAUGGACUAAUCAUGUGUGGUUGAGCCUAUCUUACUAGUAUAAGAUUGCUAAAAUUAUCUAAUUGUUGAGUAACACAUACGUAGGUCGGGCUUUCGGGCUUAAAAACUUUUGUAAAAUUAGGGCCGGGACCGGCCCGAGUAUAGUUGGGCCCAGCCCGAAAUGACAGAAAAUAAAUGAGGGCCCGUAAAAAAGCCCGGUCCGGUCCGGUCUUUUUUUUCAUUUCGGGUUUUAUGCCCACCCCUACAUAUUGGUAAAAUAGUUUGUUGCAAUUUGAACAUUUUGCAAGAGAAAUUAUUCUCUGUACCCGGAACACCAUGUGGCACUGCCAUGUGGAGUUUCUAGUCAAUCAUAUAACUCAAUUUCUUGUGGGGACCAAUAGGAGGGUGAAAAAUAAAAGAGGUAAAUAAAUAGACCAAUCAGAAAUAAAAUAAAAACACUUGGAGCAAUAGUAUUAGAGGAGACCAAAUGUCACAUGGUAUUUCGGGUACAGUUUAUAAUUUCUCCAUUUUGCAAUACUCUGUAAUCUAAUUAACGAACUUCGGGUUUGUCAUGCAACUUAACAGAGUAAAUAAAGUGGGGUUUGUCUAUAGAACACUAGUAUGUCACUAUUGCAUACGGCAAAAUAGGGAAGGAUAUCUCCACGGUUCUCACUUCUCACCACACCAAGUUUCCAUUGUGUGAGGUAACAACCUUUUGAAUCAAGAACUAAGCUAAAUAUCGUUUCAAGAAACAAACAAACAAAAAAAAAAAAAAAAACUAGAUACUGUAUGUUAACGAAACCUUAAUUAUUAACACCCAAAAAGGGUCACUAUCUCAAUGGUACAGUAGUACAAUUGGGUGUGAUUGGUGUCAAAUUUCUUGAAUCAGGAAUCAUACAAAAUAAGUUUACUUGACCUACAUUUAUGAACAAAAAGAAGAAAAAUUCAAUGUGAUAUGUCAUCACGGUACCGAGUUUGAAUGUUUGAUAUCCACUAAAAGAAUAUUUUCGUUUUAUAGGCUUUCUUCGAGUACUUGUCUUGCUAAAAUUAGGUAACAUCAAAAACCGAAAGUGAUGGUAAUUUAUGAUCAUAGAAAGCGCAAGCGAUAGCGAAUAGAUGGUAAUAGUUGGCAAUAGAUAUGCAGCUCCAUUCAGUGGUGGUUGAAAGUGAUUGCUUACAAGCUGUACAAGUAAUUAACUCCCCUAAUCAAGACUUGUCUUCUCUAAGGGUCUAGUGAGUAGCAUUACUAAUUGCUGUGUAAUUUAUGUUUCUAGACUAGCUAAUGCGGUAGCUCACAAGUUUGCCAAUUUUGGAUAUGAAAAUAAUGGCCAAAUGGUUCACUACAGCUCUUCAGUUUGUUCAGGAUGCCCUCAUGUACGAUAUUCGUACUCAUUAAUAAAUUUCUUUCUCCUUUAAGAAAAAAAAUGGUAAUAUAGGUCGGCGGAAUUGAGAUCACCAAUGAAAAUGUAGUGAGGACAAAACAGAAAAACCUUAAGCAAAGACUUUACGAAAGAUAUAUUUUAGGGGAAUUUUCAUAUACAUCCAAUUUUGAAGAGUGGUUUUAAAUAAAACCCACUUAAUAUUCAUAUCUGAUAGACAUUUAAAAUGUAUUAAUUAUGAUAAAUAUUAUGUCCUAUUUUUUCUAAAUUUUACACAAUUGCCACCAUUCAAUUAUAACAUAUUAAUAUAAUAAAUAAGUUUAAUUGAUGUUGUUUUAAAUACCUUGAUUAUGAGUUUUUCUUCUAACACUAACAUUUUUCAAUCAAUUUGCAAGAAUCAUAUAGUUUUCUUUAUUUUUAUGAAAAAAAUCUAGAUUAAAGGAAUUCAUUCUCUAAUCUAUACAUGAGGUAAAAUAUAAUAUGAAUAAAAUAUCUGAUCUAAACCCUAAACCCUAUAACCUAUACCCUAUAACCUAAACCCUAAACCCUAAACCCUAUACCCUAUACCCUAAACCCUAAACCCUAUACCCAAUUUUGAGCUUCUUUUUUUUAGGUAUAUUAUCAUAUCAUGCCCUACUUAAUAGGUACAUUAGAAACGUAAGUUGUAGAGAGUAAAAUGUUAUCUCGAUUAGGAUGAGAAAUGAUAUAAUAAUAUACAUAAAAAGAAGAAAAUUAAUCAAAGAACAAUAACGUGUACCUUAUAAUUAGACAUUUUUCGACUAUGUAGAGAGACACCAAAUAUGAGCUUAGGAAUGAAAAGUAUCAUCCUAUUACAAAUGACAUACUUUUGUAUAUAACAUAUAUAUAUACACUCAAGUUAGUAAUAACAAGGUAAGAAAUUAAAGAAUGUAAUUGAUUAUGACAAAGUUAAAUCUAACUAAAUUUUAGCUAGUAUUUGAGUUUCAAAUUGAUGCUAAAAUUGAGAAAUAUACCAAAUUUAGCUUUCUAUAGUCUGAAGGGCAAAUUAAGAAACCGAAAAAUGAAGAAAACUAUUAAUUAUAGACAUUUUCUCUAUAUGGUAUGUUUGCUUAUGUAGAAUGGGUGUAAAAUAAAAAAUAUAUAUAUGUAUGGGUUUAUCUUAAAAAAUGUCUAAUAUUUUAGGUUUUUAUCUAAUUUUCUCUAUAUUUUAUGAAACUAAGAAAGAUCGUGAAGAUUAGGUGUGCGUUAGUGCAUCAAUAAGUGACCAAAAUAACCCUGCCCAACGGUUCGGAUAAAGCUAAAUCCAACAUGAAACUCGUUCCUAUACACACGUAGCUGACUCAGCUGACUCGGUUUGGAAUGUACAAAAGCUACUCCACCCUCUCCAUUUUCAAUGCCUCGUUUUCUCUGCAAUCUUCAGUGAGACACAUAAAAUUUUGCUGGUGAGCCACAGUCCGGUUGAUUAAGUAGGUUAACUGACAACUUUAAGGUCAUGGUUCAAACUUUAUUGGUAUAUGUAAGAUGCGUGAGUUACUUAAAAAAUAUUCUACAGUGACAGAAUUAACAAAAUACUUGAAGGAUACCAUAUUAAUUCAGGGUUCUUUUUUAAUGAAAUUAGGAUUUCAUUUUUCCGAGUCAUGUCCGUUUGUUUCAAUUGAAUCAUUCACCAACAAAUAAUGGAACUCAGAUUAUGUUGCUCAUUUACAGCUUGCCAAUUCUAAUUUUGAGGAAGUUCCUAUAUUUCCAAUAACUGGUAUUUACCAAUUAAGUAACAAGUGGAAGGCAAUUGGAAAGUUAACAAAUUGAACCAAGUAUCCCAUUCUCACUUUCAUUCCAGCUGUGUGCUGCAUCUAUGAUCGCUUUCUGGGUUGGUUGUUGCACUUGUUUGUCAUGAGCUAUGUAAGAGAGUGUUUGUUUCUGAGCUCCAUACCAUGAACUUUGUCCUCUUUGCUCAAUUAUUCCUCGGAUCAGUGAUGCUUACUCUGGACUAUGGCAAUGACGAAGUGACAUAAACUUGAGCCUUUGCUGCUGAUUCAUUUGAAUUUGCUGCCAUAAACUUCAGUGUCAAUUGCUGACUCGUUUGGUGUGGUAGGAUACUGGUGUGAAUAUGGUGACCCUGAAUGAGACUUUGUUUUAGGGGAAAAUUUCAAGUGAUCAUCCCUUCUCCUCCUCCCUAUAAGGCUCACCAGCCAACCUGAGAUGGUUCAAGCACAAAAUGGAUCUUUUUGGAGUAGCGGCAUUAGGCAGCGACAAUACCUUGGGACAAUUUGUUGGUUGUAAAAUCGUACCCAUAACCUUUUCAAGUAACGCCAACUAGCGUUUAGUUGUAAGACAUUUCUCUUCGGUAAGUAAGUAUUGGCCGAUCGGUACAUGCAAGUUCGAUUUUCCCUACCAUCAGUUGAAAAUAACGUGACAUAUAAAUUUUUCAUAUAUAAAAAUUGGCAUAAAAUUUGCUUUUAUUAAGAAAAGGCCAUCAUCUGCAUCUUGGUGAGACAAUAUGGGAUAGGUGUGGCUUAUGAUGAACCAAAUCUAUAAAGGAUUAGGUUGCAGAAAACGUGGGUAAUACCAAAUAAAGAACGAACGAAAUUGUGGUAUUUGAGUCCAUGGAGGGAUGUGUGGAGUGUAGACAUUGGUGUGCUUAAGCAUUGAAGGCAUUCAUGCAUUAUGCCAUAGUAGUCUUUUGCAGCUCGAGCUUCUAAUAUUAAUGGAGGUGAAUGAGAUUUAGAUCACAAAAAUAAAUUCAUAAUUCAUCUCUAGCCAUAGUGGUCUUGUUUCUAUCUCUAGGUAGGCUAAUUAAUCAAGUUGCACUAAGAAACAACGCAUAAAACCACAUUUGAACGCCUAGUGUCACUUUUAUUAAUUUUUAGUUGAAACCGAAGGAUCAAACGUCUGAUCUGGCCUAAAUCUAACUGUAUUUUAGAUUUUUUAAGGUCUUUCACUAUCAUUAAUUUAUCUUCUGAAGUAUAAUAGGACACAUUAGAUAUUAGACAUGCAACCAGAAUAGUAAUUAGCAAGUAGGGGACUCGCGAUCGACAUCAUUAUCAUAUGAUGAUAAUGAUACUUGAGAAACUGACAUUCCCAAAACAUAUACAAGAUCACAGGCUUUUGUUAGAAUCGAUGAAGUAAUUUAGGGUUUAUAUCUAAAAUUAUGUGAGAUUCAUAUCUCAACACGUCCCACCACGUGUGUGAAAUUUUUAAGUCAUUCACAUAGACAACUAGUGAACUAUUGGGUGAUAUGGAGUCCGUGUGGCCAUUAGGCAUUCACAUGUGGACAUGAGUAACCAGCUCUAAUACUAUGAUGAAGUAAUACAUAAAUCACAUCCACAACUAAAUGAUAAUAGAUGGAAUAACUCAAAGUCUCAAACCUUAUAACCUCAAAAGGCAACAUUUCAUAUUUCCCGUGUGGUAUUCAUAUCUCAACAAGAACAACUAGUUCUCUGUGAUAAUUUUAAGUUGCCUGUUGUGCAAUCUUGUUGCUGAAGAAUUAAGUAGUAGUAGUCAUGCUAAGCAGGCAAAACAUAUAACAAUAUUCUGCUCCACAAGCUCUGUGUGGGAGGAGCCUUUGCUGUUACACAAUGCAAGUUGCCUUUUCGAAAUGGUCUCUGAUAAUGUAGGUAUGGCUCAAUAAUUUAAGUAAUGAAUUCAAUACCGGCCUCUGUCAUUAAUGAAUUCAAUGCCGGCCGAGCUGAUCCCUUUAAUGUAUCUUCAUGACUGAUUUUCACCAAAAUGUAACUAGUACUCACCCAGAGAAUCUUAGCAUUUGUUACUAGAUUCAUCUAAAGCUACCCUCUAAUUGUAUGACAGAUUUGGCAACAAAUUCUGCGCUCAAGUAUUUGUUGAAAUGGCUCUGAGGAUUUCUUGUUACUGAACUACGUACCAUAGCUAUAAUACAUAAUUACAUAUAUGCGUUUAUUCGUUUCCAGAAACUUGUACAUAAAUUGUGAUGAAUCAGAUCAAAUCAAUCAUAGAGAUAGAUUAAUGAGAUUGAUACAGAAACAUAAUAGAAUGUAUUAUAUAUUUUCAGCACUAACUCGGAAAUUAGUCCUCCAAAUUAGGAACUGUAACAAUCACUGAAUAAGCACCCUCCCGAUCAGCUGAUGAUGGCACUGCCAUAACAACUCCACCAGAAAUGAAUCCAAACCAAUACGAAACACUAGCCGGCUUAUUCCCUUCACGAAAUCCGACCUCCUUUGCCCCGAAAAAAUCCCAUCCCGCUUCAGCAAUUCCCUUAAUUUUUGGCUUAGCAAGUCCUUCUUUUCGAAAAUUCUCAACCUUGACUGCACUGCAGGAUGAGCUGUUGAUCUUCACAAACAAUUUCCCAAAACCAUACUUGCUCUCUGCUUCUUCAACACAAAUUUUCAAUGCAUCAUCGUUCUCCGAAUCCACAUUCUCAGCUGCAACAUUGAAAAUCAUUGUCUUGCCACAUUUUUUGCUAGGAAUAGAGACAAAUAUAUUGUUGGCAGACUUUCCAUUUUUGCCAACAUGUCGGAAAUUAUAAAAGGGUGUCACAGUUAGGCUCUUGUCUGAAAGCAGAUUGUGGUGGAUAUUAGCCCAUUUCUUGAGAAAAUUUUCUUUGAACAAAAGAUCUGCUAGAAGAACACUGCAGCUAAUUCCUAGUGAACUCCCUCCACACUGAAAAUAUGUCACCUGAGAAAGGAAAAAAUAAAAAGGGCUGAAGUGAUUCAAUAUAUCCCAAAAAAGAAGGAAACAAGAAAUAAGUACCUGAACAUAAAAGAGAGGAGAGUACUGAGGACUAUGUUCAUCAAUCGUUUUCCAAAACACAAGUUCAUCUUCUGCAUCCUCCCUGCUGGACUUGUAAGACAGAAACUCAGCCAUGGUCAUCGGAGUACGAGCUUCGAUGAGUCUAAUGCCGCUGUCAUUGGCCACAACCUCCAGCUCUCCACUAUCAUUCACACGAAAUCGGCCAGCAAAUAGCGGUUGCUCCACCAACGCCCUCGAAAGGGACUCCUUGAUCCAGCCGGCAUGGAGCCAACUUGAGUCCUCUUGGGUUGCUUUUGUGUAGUAGAGAAGGAUGUGCAGGCAGUUUUGGAAUAUUCCCAAACUGAUCGGGUCUGCGGCCGACACGGCAAGUGUCGGUCGCGGAUCGGUGAUCUUGAAGGGUGUUAUAGUCUGGACGGAUUCAAUGUGUGCUUUUGGGAGGAGCGUGGUGACACCACUGGAAAUUGCCAUUUUGAGAGGAACUGCUAGAAAGCUAUUACCAAAGAACAAUGUAGCAAGCACUCUAUUAAUAUAUGCACAGGCAGGGGUCGCGUGUGUGAUUACCUAACAUGUUCGUACAUAUAUUUCUUUGCAUGAAAAUGAUUGGUUUCUCAUUUUACUUGGCAUACAUUUGGAUCCCAUACAUUUUGAUAUGCUUCUUUGGUCUCAUGAAGGACUUUUGGCUGCUCUUUUUGUUGCAACACCUUUAAAUUCUAACCACUCAUUGAAGUAUUGAACUGUUUGAUAGUUACUAGACAAGGUUCAACACAUAUCCCCAAAUUUGGCUAAAAUUAAAAAACAAAUUUACCAUUUUGGUGUUUUUGUUGAGAAUAUAAAGGCCGAUCUUGAAUAUUCAGCAGUUCAAAAUGCCAUAAAUUUUACAUUUAAUUGUUUGGGGCCUUAAGUUUGAACUUAUUUGAUUGACCAAAGGACUCCUUCUGCCCACGGCAAUCAGAGAAUGAUCUUGGGCUGGGCUGGAGGGUCGUCGUCCGGUAGUUUGGGGCUGGGUCGUAGAGGAUGAGGUGACGGGUCAGAGCAGGCAAAGAACAACGACGAUAGGAGGCUAGAAGCCUUUUAUUUGGGAUGCCCACUUUAGUAGGUGCCUUGAGUAGAAGUAGGGUUGCGCUUAGGCUAAGGCCGGGCUUCUGAAUCCCGACCGAGUUUGGAUCCAGGUCCGGCCUUUUCUUGGAUUUGGAAUAUGGCUGUCAGAACAGUUGGGUCUGGGUCUGGAGCUGUUUUGGAAUUUUUUUUGAUUUUCAUUUUAUGUUUAGUUUAUUUUUGUUUUUACUUUCUAUAUUUCAGUACUUUUAAGCAAGGCAUCAAUGUAGUGUGCAUGAUGAAUAUCAAUGAUCUGUUACAGAUUUCUGGUACUUAUGCUAUCGCAGCUUUUAAUCAAGCCAACUCGGUGGCUCUGCAUUUAGAAUCCUUUAUGUCUUUUAAUUCUGUAACAUUUUUUUUAGAAAAAAAAAAGGGAAUUGUAUUGCUUCAUCAAUAUCCGAAAGGCAUUGCCCAGUACCAUUUGAUCUUAGUGGCAGAAGUAUUUCCUUGUAAGUGAGAGGUCAUGUAGUUUUUUUUUUUUUUUUAAGUUUUUUAUUAAUAACUCACACACCUUACGUAUGUCUGUGAGAUUUGAACUCAUAACCUCAAAAUUGUCAGUUAAACACCCACUACCAGGACAAGCACUUUAGCCGACGAAAAAUUUUCGUCGGCCUGUUAUAUUAAUUCGUCGGCUAAGAUCUUAGCCGACGAAGGCUCGUCGGCUAUAGUGUCGUCGGGAAAAGCUCGUCGGUGAUGACUUUAGCCGACGAAAUUUUUUUUUUCGUCGGCUAUAGUCCCACAGUUAGCCGACGAAAAACAUGUCGUCGGUUUUUUUCCCAGACUUUAGCCGACGAAACAAUUAAUAUAUUCGUCGGCUAAAUUGUGUAAUAAAUAAUUAAAAAUAACUAUAGCCGACGAAAUUUACUAUAUUUCGUCGGCUAAACCUUAUAAAAAUUUAAAAAAAUAACUAUAACCGACGAAAUAUACUAUAUUUCGUCGGCUAAAACCUUAUAAAAAAUUAAAAAAUAACUAUAGCCGACGAAACAUGCCAUAAUUCGUCGGCUAAACCUUAUAAAAAAAUUAAAAAAUACUAUAGCCGACGAAUAUAGUGUUUAAAUAUCGUCGGCUAAAGUUUCUGGGUUUUGAAAAAAAAAACUGCAGAAACUUUCGGCCACCUCCAAUCACGACCAAAAUUUGACAGAAUCUUCCUCUCAACAUUUCGAACAACUUUAUAGAAGAAAUCGAAGCUCAAUUCUAAGCCUAAACAGGUCAAUCGACUCAAAAUAUAAAAAUCCCCAAUUUUAAACCCUAAAAACUUCAAAUCUUCGAUUCUCUUCACACACACCGAAUCGAGCUACCAAAUUCUAGGGGAAUGUAGUACUAAUCAAACUCAACUUAUCCAUAUAUAGAACUCACCAAAUGGUGACCUAAGGAAGGAGAAAUUUGAUCGACACCGAAUCCGAACCGGCGGAGUUUUGGAGCUCGAUUUAUCCCUCACGGCGGCGCCACUCGAUGCACCACCUAUCCAGCAAUGAAGUAGAGACGACGGCGAAGCUUUUGGGACUAGUGUGACGGUCUCCGGUGGCUUGACGGCGGAGCAAGGCCGAGAAGAAAAUCUGGCAGAUAAUAGACUUCUUACCAUCCAUCUUCGCCUAUAUAAAGAACUUUAGCCGACGAAAUUCUUUAUUUUCGUCGGCUAAACUCUUUUGAAAAUUUUGGUUGACCGCCAAAAAAUUUUGGUUGAAAAUUUUGAAAAUUUUGAAAAUUUUUCGACUUUAGCCGACGACUUUUCAUAUAUUUUCGUCGGCUAAAGUCCUUUGAAAAUUUUCCUCCAACUUUGGUUUACCGCCUAAAAAAUUUUGAAAUUUUUUGAUCUUGGCCGACGACUUUUCAUAUAUUUUCGUCGGCUAAAGUCUAUAAAUUCACGAAAACGCUCAUAUCUCCCCCUAUAUUACGUAAUUUGGUCAAACCUUCCACACCAAAAACUCUCACGUAGAUGAGACGCAACUGCCCAUAUAAAAAUUUUGAGACAUUUACCUUCCGACGAUAGGGCUCCCCAUAAGGAAUAAUAACGGUAAAUAGGGUUGACCGCUACUAUCGGCUCCGAGACUUUACCCGAUUUACGUGAUUUUUGAACCAUAGCCGUAUUUCACCAUUCUGAACACAUCUUAUUUCACGAGAUUUUUCAUAAUUUUGCUUCCUAUGUAGAGUUGGUUCACAAAGUUGUAUAACCAACUAAACAAGUUAUACAACAUUAGUAAACACGUUGUGAUUCCGAUGACUAAAAUUCACAAACCAAAAUUCGACCGUCAGAUAUGAUCAUUAUGACGAAAUAUGUCUAUGGUAAAAAAUUCAACUGGAUCCGACAACGUUAAGGGCUCGAUCGAAACGGUCAACCAUAAUCCAUCGUCACUNNNNNNNNNNNNNNNNNNNNCGAAAAUUUUAAAUUAGCCGACGAAAAAAAAAUUCGUCGGCUAAAGUGGACUUUAGCCGACGAAAAAAAAAUUCGUCGGCCUGGUUUUUUAUUUUCGUCGGCUAAAGCCUUUCUUCUGGUAGUGACCUUAACCAACCAAGUCACGGCUCAUUGACAGAGGUCGUGAGUUUGACUCACAAUAUACUUGUUGUAGCAUAUUAGUUGUUUAUUUGAUAAAAUAUAUAUAUAUAUAUAAAUAUCCAAAAGACACUUAUCAAGUACCAUGACAAGUACAUUUAUUGAUUACAAAUAUGCUCAUAUAGAGCCCGCAACCAAAAAAAAAAUCUUACUACAUAAAUCACUGUAACAGAAUAUCAGCUACCUAAUACCUCAAUCGGUAUGCACCUAAUAAGCUUAAGAAAUAAGUAUUAAAACUGACGUUAAUGCUCAAGCUGAGAACAACCCAAGACCUGCGUCUUGCCCAUGCUCUUAGCAUUAGGGCAAGCCUUAUCACUAACACUAGUUGCAGUCAGCCCAAACCCAUAUCAGUUUCAGCUGAAUCCACCUUAUCGAGCCCACACUCACACCCAUCCGACCCAACAAGUGGGAGUCCAAACACCAUAUCCAGCACAGCCAACUCAGCCACAAUUAACCCUAGGGUAGGGUGUCCCGUCGAGCCAGGCUCUCCGGCGGCUUUCUCGACCAUCAUGAAAAUUGUGUUACCAAGCCUCGCUUGAAGGAUCUUCAAUCCAAUCUCUAAUGAAGCCAUAUAGGUCUGCACCGAACUUACAACCGCCACCACAGUUAAUUGCAACUCGUAACCUCUAUUUAGGACUUCAACCUCCAUCGCAGCCAUAGAUUCGGGCCAACACGAAGGUUCUCAACCUUUCGCAAACGAAACUCCGACGAAGGACGCCGAAACACGUCCACCUACAACACCCUCAACAGAACGCCACUACUGGAACCUUAUGAAAAGCUUGGUCGGCGUUGCCGCCAUCUUGCCAUUGUUGGAACGACGAAGCACAAGGUUAGUCGCUACGUCCAUGAAACCUAGGUUUCGUAUUGCCAAGGCACUUCGUAAGAGACGGAGCAUAGGCCUUAUUCAGCUAGGCUCUCCAACUUUACGUUUUAUUUUAUUUAUGAUGGAACUGUUAAAGAGUUUAUUUCUAUUUGAUAAAGGUUGUCAACUAGCUUCGAAAAAUAGUAAAAGAUAGCUUAUGGUUUACGAAAAACUGAGUUUAUAUAUGCCGUAUUUUAUAAAUUCCCUCUAUUACUUUUGUAUGUGUUGGGUGAUUGUUGGAGGACCAUAUUCGAUAUAUUUUCCUUGAUGGAGGUAGGAUUUCAUUGUUGGAGGACGGUACGAAGUGGCAGUUGGCCAGUCUAUGUGGUUGAUUGAAUGUCACCGGCCGGUACCUUACAAUUUUGAGGUACACAUGAAACGAAUGGCAUUUUCACUUAAAUAAAUGUAAAAUUGGAUUUUGGGGUCUAAUUAACACCUAACUGCCCUCUACCCCAAAAACCUGUGGUGUCUAAUCUCACAAGAUGUACUCAUGUUGUUUACAAUCUUGGCAUAUUUAGGUUGCAGGUGUAACACAUAGACCGUGUAAUAGACAAACAAAAAUAAGGAUGAGAUAGAUAACACCCUAAUUUCUUUUUUUCUUCGUGGGGUUUGCAAUAAAUUGAAAUAUGAGUUUGGCAUCAAUAGUCGGUCAGGAGGUCUCAAUCACUGCAUUAACUAGAAAGUAUAUAAUUAUUUUCUUGACAAUAACUCUAAAGAUAUAGCAAAUGGAAAAACUAUGCAUAAUAUGCAUCACCCCUCCUACUUAAAAUUAAAAUUAAAAUGUAUAGAAAAAAAAAAUUAUCUCUUUUCUAAUAUCAAAAAUAUUAUUCAUUACGUUGGAGCCACUAGAAGUCAAUCUCUCUCGUCGGAUUUAAGAGCUCCUAGUGACAUGUACAUAUUGUUAUUAGGAGCAUAAAAGAGAAUGUGAUUGCAGUUCUAGCGUUAUAUUAAAGACAUUGUUUUCUUUGUUUUUGAACAAUAAGGACAUUGUUAUCUAUCUUGAUUUGUGUUUCAUUUUUCUUUUCUUUUUCUGUGUGGCUAGAAGUUGGGAACCGAGUAGACGCAAAUAGGCAAAUAGCCUUCUUGGUUCCAGAUUUUAUUAAAAGAAAGAAAGAUUACAAGAGGAGAGGAAAUGAAACAACACCAAACAUCUUAAGUGAACAAUUAAGUUAUAAAGGACAUGGCUUCUCUGCUUGGAAAAUAUAGUGUUUGGAUCUGCUUGGGUUUCUAACAAGAUGCCACGUCAUUGUUAAUCCAUCCAACGCUUCAGAAUUAAAAAGGGGUGUAAAACUAAGUUGCUUCAGAAAAGCAGUUGAUAAUUGUCUCUCUCUCAUCUCUUCCUUUCCCGGCAGAAGUCUAUGCAGCAGUCUCACCUGCAAAAAAAAA
rnacentral:lncRNA from 1 species